GGCGAAGGCGGCAUCUCCAUCGACAACAAGCUCGCCGACGCCGAUUUCUUCAACAACUUCGAAGACGAUUUCGAUGACUCCGACAUCAACUAAACGCCUCAACCCAAAGUUCUCAUCUUUUUCUCUCUUCCCUUUCUAGGGUUUCGUCUUUUUUCUUAAUAAAAAUCUUAAUGCUUGUUCGAUUCAGUCGAAUUUGAACUGCUUUAUGGCUUAUCUCAUCUGCAAAUUAUAUUAUUGUAGUUUUUGAACGUUUAGCUUUGGUUAAUUGGUAAGGAAUAAAAAGGUGUUUCCAUUCUGGAGUUGAAUUUAGUGUUGAAAUGAAGCGAGAAAUUGAAAGAAAAUUUCAACAGCCUCUGAAUCAGAGAAUUCGUUACAACAAAGGUGCAAAUCUAGUAACUAAAUUAUAUUCCCCAAAUCUGUUUAUGUCUAUAAACAUGCCAUCAAACUCAUAACAUUUCCAACCAUUUCCAUUUAAAAAUGUAGAUACAACACUGUCAUUCUUAUCGUCAUUCGACUUGUUCAAGUUAUGGCCAAUUAUCCACCAUGUAAAGAAGGAAACAACAAAGACAGGAUCGUGUUUGUGUUAUGGCCCAGGCUUAUGCUUCAAGCCGUGGCUCCCGAGCUCGAGGAUUGACUUUUCUGUGUUUGUGUUAUGGUCGAGACAAUUCUAAGCUGUGGCUUCUGGAUUCGUGGAUUGACUAUUGUUGUAGUGUUUGUGUUAUGGGUAGGCUGACAAGUUCUUUUCUAUUGCAGGCUUGCUUUAAUAUGUUAAGAGAAGCUACCAACAUUGCAGCAAGCAAUUCCACCAUGUUAAUGUCUAUUCACAGAAAAAUUAAUUGUUCAAAAGAUUCCAUGACAAAGAAAAAGAAGCCAAAGUAAUUCCACCAUGUUAAUGUCUGUCCACCGAAAAAUUAAUUGUUCAAAAGAUUCCAUGACAAAGAAAAAGAAGCUAAACAACUUACUAACCAAACCUUUAUUUUACGGGAAAAAAUGCUUCAAUUAUACUAUACACCCUGAUCCAGGUGGCCAUACAACAGUUGCAUGAUAUAACAAAAGCACAAUGAGCCACAGAUAACUCAUACAAUCAAAGUUGACGACGACUCCUGAAAUCAAAUCUAGUUAUGUUUCUUCACACCUUAUACAACAAUACCAUACUUCAUUGACAAUUCUAACAAGAAAUUAGGAAGGGCUCACUGUUUCUUAUAUAUUGUCUUGUACCAGAACUCUGAUAUUCCUUCGAUGUAAAUUUCUUUCCUUGGCCGACGGUUCUCACACCAUGGAAAAUCAUCAUUCAGAAAUUAGCAUUUAAUAAAAGUAGACAGCAUGCGAUGGAAACUAGCAUUUAAGAAUUGGAAACCGGGAUAAUCUUUCGAUUUCCUUGAUAAUUAGUUCCUUUUCCUCUUCAAAUUGCUCAUCUUCGGCACAUGCGAUGACAAUUAUUUCUUAAAAGACAAGCACAAGGACAACUAAGAAAAUGGUUUCAAAUGGAAAAAACCCAACUAUAUAUCUGGUGCCAAUUUUUCAGAAAAUGUAUGGCCAAAAGAUUUAAGUACCUUUUCCUGAGAGAUUUUGAAGCAGAUCCAGCAAUUUUUCAUGGUUUUUUGCCAGAAUAAUCUUUACUUCUCUUGGCUUGUUAGGAUUAGCAACAAAAACCUUCAUGCGAAUAGCAAAGGAAGGAAAACAAUAGAUUAGAACAAUUCUUGCAAUAUCUGAAGUAAGCUUUCUUUCCCUGUUAUCUAGGUGAUAUCAUUUAAGUAAUUUGCAUCCAACAGUCCCAAGUAAUUUUUUAAGACAAAGAGAGCGAACUGGCUUUGGAAAUGCAACAGAAGAAAUACUCCAAAGUAUAAUGUUCCGCAGGCUAAAUUUCAGUCUCAAUGGGUGAUCUUGAACAUUAAUAUCUGAAGAUCUUUUGGACAGGACAUCUUAUGACAUUUAGUAUGACAUAUUUUAGGGUUCAUUGAAGCAGGAGAAAGAGAUAGAGACAUUGGGAACUUUCAUAGGCGAGCUUCCAAUUCAUGAAUAUCAUCACUCAUCAUUUCUUGUCUAAUUAUUAACUUAGAACAUUGCCCUGAGGCUUUUUUACAAAGAUGUAUUCUUAAAACCCCAUGACAGAACAUGUGCUUGCCUGUGGACUGUGGAUAGGCCUGUGCUGGGACUAGCAAAAACGAUGUGUUUAUUUGAGAGUGAGAGAGAAGGAGAGGGAAAAACCACUUUGAAAAUGUGGAAAGCAGAAAUCUGCAUGUUUUUACUUGAAUCCUGCUUUGACACAAAAAGAGCGGAAAGUAAAAAGUCAAAUCAUAUAACAGACAAUUUCAAACAAGUUCUUCUCGAUAGCUACAGGUUAAGAUAUUUAAUGUACCAAGGAAGCAGACUGGGAUAAUCUUAUCAGACAUAAAAGUAAAAACAGAGAGCUCAUAUGAUUUCACUAGGUCCAAUCUAUUCCAAGUUGAAUACCCAAAAGUAUAUCAAUAAGUUGAAGCAGUUUCCAUAAAACAAAAAUGCCAUUCCGCACUCAUGGCUUUCACUCUUGCAUCACUCAUUUUCCAUGUCUCUUCAGGCCCAAUAAUGGACGGUCGAAGAUGCAAGAGUGUAUGAUGGUUGAAUGUAAAUCAGAACUCAUUUCAAUAAGACAUCCGGACUGCCAAUGGAGAUUCAAUCCAAUUAACGCCAAAAGAAACAUAAAGGAGAAAAAAGUACAGUUAAUAAGAAGUACCUCCAGCAAUGUCAUCAUAACUUUCAAAUACCGAACUUCUAAAAUAUAGCACUUCAUUAUAUGGGAAUUUGGAGUCUCCAAAAGAAAUUGCGACAGAAGCUAAACCAAAAACAUUGCAGCAUUAACACAUCUUACCAAUCAACAUAUCUACAGAUCCAAACAGGAUGGAAAAGAGAGAAAGUGCCGAAACCAACCUUUAAAGAUUGCCAUCUUGUCACGUAAUUAGAAGACAUCAAGAGUUUUUCAUAUAGAUCAAAGAACAGGAACAACAUUAUCUCAUUAGAUAAGCUAAAAGAGAGAAAAUGGAAAAUGGAUAUCUCAACAAACUUAUGAAGAAAGAUAUUUUCAGAGCUCUGCACCAUGCAGAUUCAUCAGGGGUAGUUGCACUUGAUGUCCCUUACCAAAAGGGUACACACAAUAUAAAACAUUCUUGAAGAAAGUUUUUAGCUCAGCAGGUCUUCUAGUUGAAGCAUUCAAUCAACAUAAAGCCCUAAAGCAAAAUUGUUCUCAGCCUAGAUCAUUUCUGUCACGUAAGAAGGAUUAAACAGUAUGUAAAUGUACCUCAUCGUAAUGAGCAGUCAAUUAUUCAGAUAACAAUGUUCCAUGUUUUGUAAGCAGAUCCAGAGGAAAUUCAAUCAAAGACGCAUAAGAGGAAGAAAGCAUGGACCCUGAAAAUGCAUGUACUUAAUCUAAAGUACCGUAAGACUUAAAAACUAAUACAUCUAACCUUAAAUGUUGAAAAUGCAUCAGAAGCAACGUCAAAGUUGGGCAACUCCACAAAUUUGAAGAAUAACACAAAGCUAGCAGACUUUAAUAUGUAUCUGAAAAAUCACUACAAAAUUUAACUGGUGAAAAAGUGAAACUUGAUUUUCAAUAAAGAAAUUUUGCACCAAACAUUAAAUUUAAAACAAAGAAAGUGCCCUAGCAGCCAAUUUUUCCUCCUUUGAUUUACUUGGACUAGUUCAUAGACACCAACCGGUUAUAGCUUUUGACAUCUAAUAAAAGCAGCAAUCGGCACUUCUAAAAUAGGUAAUGAUCAUUACCAAUCUCUAAACUGCACCAGUUCCUGAAUUACCCAGCAUCCAAGUUUUACUCAAAACCUUCAUAAUAUGUUUUACACUUGAUCUUUUAAAGCAGGCCAGAAUAUUAAAAAGAAGUUUAUCCUCACAAACCUAAUUUUGUAGUUAACAACAUCAGAAGAUAUUGAAGUGGUGAUUAAUCAGUCUACUAAAAACCGGAGUUGUAUCUGAAUGCUGAGCUGAAAGCAACAUAUUUCAUGCUGCAGCAUGUUCUGCUUAUUCACCACCUCACCUCAUGAAAGCCUAGUGUAUAAACCUUAGUAGACGCUAACACGUAAAACCAUAUUUGGAAAAGAGCAUACAAAUGAGGAUGAUGAUUCCAAUCAAGGUUACAUGCAAAGCUUGCCACAAAUUAGAUGAUAUAGAAUAUAAUAAAAAAUUUAGAGAACUUAUGUACUGAAAGAAUUAUAUUUCCUCUUCUGAAAUCUUAUACAAUCAUCAUUUAGGAAGAAGCAAUGACAAUGUUUUCAACCAUAGCAUCACUUUAGCAACAUCAUUAAGUACUUCAGUCAUAUGAACGAAAUGGACAUAAAGCUCGAAUGUCUUACUGUGCAAGUGUUGGAAAUUUGAAGCACUCCCUCAACAUAUUUCCACAAUUUAAAGCAAUUUCCUUGUUAUAAUAGCUGCUUGCAAAAGAUAGAAAUUACACACCUAACCUUAGUGAUUCAAUAGCACACAUGACUUUGUCCAUGUUAUUUCAGUAUGCAUACAGGUCAAUGCCAUCCUAUAGAAAUAAACAACACACUCUGAACACAACAAAUAGGAAGGAGAGAGAAAGAGUCACAUUAAACCAGCUUUAUGCAUAUUCGAUAAGCAUGUAAUAGACAACAAAUUAUAGAGAUUUCUAGUUGAAAAGAAAGGGGCAUGGACAUAGAUAAAUGUGAAAAUGACAUUCAUAACAUUACCAAACCACAAGAAAGUCAAAUAACUCCAAAUGCUUCUCAAUGUACUCCACACAGCAACAGGUGGAAUCAACUUUUUGCUCAACAAUAUGGACCAAAGGUGUAAUAAAUCUUUUCUUGCCUGUAAAAACAUAAAAUAAAUAGGCAAGCUUAUUAAAUAACCAGAUAUGACCAAAAUAGUAAAAAUAUCAAGAACUUGCUUCCCAUCCCAGUAUGGGCAACUUGUGACUAAUGAGAGAAAUAACAUUCUCUUUAGAAAUUUCAAGUGCCAACUGUAAGACUUGAUCCACAUUUGGUUCAACCUCCCCAUCUCUUGAAAGCAUGCAUCUCAUUGUCACAAAAUUCUUUUCAACUUCUUCCAUAGCCCAAGGCAAUAUAAAACAUAACUAUCAAUAUCCCAAAUUCUUAAACAUGAGUAAUUUACAAAGUAACUGAAUGUCUCUGCGGUCCAUUUUCGAUUUCAUUUCUGAACAUAACCCUGAUAGAAACUAAACCCCAACAUUUAGCUUGUGGCUAAAACAAAAAUCAUCCAUCCUUGGACCAAACCUAUUAUUUAUCUACAAUGCCAUUGAAAGUAGGCUAAAAUGGUGUUGAUCCCAUGAGACAAUAUUAGCAGACAUAGACAUCAAGCAAGCGUUGCCCCUUUUGUCCCAUUGGGUUAGAACUUGAGCAUUCCACUGCAGGUUUCAGGUUCAAAUCUUUAAGACUUUAUUAGAUGGGAGAGCUACCUCCAUUUCUCUAGCCUAAUGGACAAUGGAUUUUCUAUGUACAAAAUAAUAAAGCAUCAGCCAUUUUGUUCAUAUUACAAACAAAUGACAUUGGAAGACACUUCAUUGUUGACAUCCUAAUAACAAACAGUUAGCAUUUCAUGCGGGAAAGCAAAAAGCUCCAAAGAUUUUGGGAAGAAGAGCAAAGUAAUGGCAUAACACGUAAAAUAUUAAAACAACUAGCAAACCAAUGCCCAAAACAUUACCAAAUGAAAUAAUUCUUAAAACCCAUUUCAUAAUUUCAAUAUCACAAACAAACUUGAGACUCAACCACAUAGCCAAAUCCCAAAAAAAUUUGAAGAAUACAAGAAAUUAUGCUAAAAUUAAGCAUAACCCCCCCCCCCCCAAAAAAAAAAAAAAAAAAAAACUUUCAAGGGCUUUAACUUCAGCAACGGUUUUGGCGUCGAGAGCCAUGAGGCUGUCCUUGAUCGCCCUGGCUACCUCUUGCGGGGUUUGGGCCUUGACGGGUCGAAGAAAUAAGAAGGACAUGAUCGAUCAAAUGUCGAAAUGAUGUGAUAUGAUACGACCCAAAAUUCAAUUCUCUCAAUUUCACUUCGAUGAAUGAUUUGCAGAUUGAGAAAAAUGUAAUUGAUCUGUUGAUCAUAUAGACUUUUCACAUUUUCGUUUCAACUUCAAAUCACAACAUUUUGAAAAAAAAUAGAAAUUGCUCACAAAGUUUAAACUUCAAAGGGAAACUUUUUUUUUUUUCAGUAGGGAAUGUGGGUUUUUUUUAAAUUUUUUUAAAUUAAUAUAAAUAGCAAUAUUACUCCGGAUUAAUAUAUUAAUUUAACUAUGAAUUAUAUCACUUUUUACUUUGAUAUUUAUUAAAAUUUUAUAAUUUAAAUAUUUUAUUUCUAUUUUAUAGUUAUUUUAUAUUAUCAACUAAUAUUAUUAAGUAAAAUGAUGAUAUAAUAAUAUUAAUCAAAUGAAAUCGAUUAUCUCUUGGAUCAAAUGAAUAUAUUAUUAAAAUUUAUAUUUUAAAAUUAUAAAUUUGAGAGAAUUUAUACAUAUAAUAUUUUUUUCAAUCACUUUAAGUAAUAAGGUAUUGGACUUUAAGUAAGAGUAAAAAUUUCAAACAAACAAAAAAAAAGACAUUAAUCAAUGAAAUUAUAUCAUGUAUCAUAAUUUUAUUUUUAAAAUUUUUUUGUUAUAAUAAAAUAAAAGUUAGAUAUUAAGUUAUAAAUUUUUUAUAAAUGCAAAUCAUAAAAAAUAUUUAAUGCAAAUAUCAAAUUAAAAGUAAGUCUUCUUUAUUACAAUAGUAAAUUUUCAAUGAAAAAUUUAUAUUUCAUAUAUUUCACCAAAAUCGUUUUACCUCUAAUUUGUUAAUAUAUAAUUAUAUUAAUAAUUAAUUUAUACAAAUUAUAAUUGAUAAAAUAUCAUCAAUGGCACGGUAUGCUAAAAAAAAAAACUUAAAAUCUUAAUUUAUAUUAAAAAAUUUAUUUGAAGAUAAUAUCAUUUAUAUUAGCUAAUAAUAAUUAUUGAAUUUUUUAUUAAAUGAUGAUUAUAUAAAAUGAAUUUAAAAGUUUGGGAUUCAAAAUUUUACAAUUUUAAAAUGUAAUAACUUCUUAUGUUGGUAGCCAAAUUAAAUUUCCUAUAAAAAUAUGUUAUCAACUUAUGUCUACCAUUAAAAAUAAAGAAAAAAAAUUCUUAUCAUGUUCUAAUUUUCCUUUAAACAACUUCAUCAAAAAAAAAAAAAAAAAAACGAGGUAUUAUUGGAAAUAAAAUAAAAACAAAAGCGUUUCCUUAGUUAUCGCUUAAAGAUAUAAUUUAAUUAAAUUGAGUCGAAUUAUUUAAAAAUAUGAUUAAAUUAAGUCGAAUUGAUAUAAUAAAUAUUUUAAUUUAAAUUUGACUUUAAAAUUUAUUAUUUUAAAUUUGAUUAAAUUUUAAUUUUUAAAUUUAAAUUUAACUCAAAAUAAAAACUGAAUUGAUCAAAUUUACUCUAUUAAAUAUAUUUAAUAAAAAAUGAGUUUGAUUCUUAUAAUUAAUUUUAAGUUUUAUAAUGUAUUUAAAUUUGAGUUCAAAUUUAAAUUGAUAUAUAUAAAGAUAAAAUAAUAAUUUUUUAAGUAAAAUAAAUUUGAUUAAAUUUGUUAGUUAUUCAAUUAGAUAUUAAAAUAUUUAAAUUUAAUUCUUUUUAAAAAAAUCAUUUUACUUCAAUUCGAUUAAAUAAUAAUUAAAUCAAUUUAAUUUUUUAUUAAAUUAAACUUAAAUAUCUUAAAAUAUUAAUAUCUAUUUACACGUUAUAAUUACCAAACCCGACUCCUUCGCUUGCCUAAAUUAUUUACAUCAUAGAAAACUAUUUCCGUCAAAAUAUUUAACAAUAAUUUUCAAUUUUCCUUUUCUUGAUCUCGGAGAAGAAAAAAAAAAGACUAUAAAAUUUUCCAGUACGGAUAACUCUAUGUAGUCCCCGAUGCGUGGCCAUGAUUGGAUCAACACAUGUCUUCCGGACGAGCUGAUCUUGGAGAUCUUACGACGGGUGGAUUCCAAAGCCAGCCACGAUGCCUGCUCCCUCGUCUGCAGACGGUGGCUCCGUCUCGAACGGCUUGGUCGCACCACCCUCCGAAUCGGCGCCUCUGGAAGUCCAGACCACUUCGUCAAGCUCCUCGCUCAACGGUUCAUCAAUGUCAAAGCCGUUCAUAUUGACGAGAGAUUAUCCAUUUAUUUACCUGUCAACGUGGUAAUCAAAUCUAAAAUUCGUCAAUUUACGAUAAAUUUCAGUUUUUUUUUGCGUAGUUUUUAAAUAAGUUUGGCAUUUAAUGCACCCUGAAUUCUGAAAAUGAUAAUUAUUACAAUAGUUAAAUACUUUGAUUAUCGCUUUUGUUAUUUACUUAGCAAAUUGUAAAACAAAUUACUAAAAUAUAAUAGGGAUUGUAGUAUAAUUAAUCAAUACAUGUAAAAGGAAUAUCAUUUAUUUUUGUUAGACCCAAGGAUUCGGCUAUUCGUGUGCUGUAAAAUACUAAAAUUUGUGUAUUCAUAUUAUGUUUUACACUAAAAUUAUGUGUCAUAAUUCAUCAUUAAAAUAUGAAAUACUUUUUUUAUUUUGUUUAAGCGAGUAUAGUUAUUGUUAAAAUCUUAAACCUGUGUUAUCUUCGUGUUAUUUUUCCUAUUGUAUUCAUGUUGUGUCACUGUGUAUUUUUAGAUUACCAAGUCUAAUUUUUGUUAUAAAAGAAAAUACAUUUUUAAUAUUUAAAAUUUCAAAAAUAUUGCUUUUUCGCAUGGGGAAGCAAUAAGGAAGUAGUAAAAUCAACGACCCAAUGAUAGACAUGUUAAUGAGGUAGUUUAAGUUGUUGGUGCAGGGGAAAAAGCAUGGCAGAGAUGGGAAUUCAUUGACAUCUCUCAAGGUACACUACGCGGCUGAAAAAUUGGGUACGAAGAAGAGGAGUGCGAAUCAUUCUGUCUGACAGAUGCUGGUUUUGACUGCUGUCGCUGAUGGCUUUUCUAAACUAGAAAAGUUGAGCUUAAUCUGGUGUUAUAUGUUACAAGUUUGGUAUAGUGUCCCUUGCACAAGAAAUGCUCUUCUUGAAAUCCUUGGAUUUGCAGGUAAUUCAUCAUAUUUGAGUGGAGACUGGUGAUAUUUUACUCUAUCACGUUUGCUCAAUUGGGUUGUUUAUGGAUUAUUUUUCAACAAUUUCGACUAUAUACCACUCUACUUGUCAUGUUCAUUAAGCAAUGCACUACUUGCAGUUUAGUUGCCUAUGAUGUUUUUCUGUAGGGUUGCUAUGUUGGAGAUCAAGGUCUAGUUGUUGUUGGCAAGUGUUGCAGCAAACUUGAGGACCUAAAUUUGCGUUUCUGUGAAAGCUUGACUGAUGCAGGAUUGGUUGAUUUGGCCACUGGUUGUGGGAAAUCAUUGAAUCUCUUGGUGUUGCUGCUUGUGCGGGAAUAACUGAUAAAUCACUGGAAGCUGUGGGGUCUCAUUGCAAAUCUCUGGAUACCUUGUCACUGGAUUCCCGAGUUUAUCUGCAAUAAAGGGAUCCUUGCUAUUGCCCGAGCUGUUCUCUUUUGAAAGUCUUGAAGUUGCAAAUGUAUUAGUGUUUACAGAUGAGGCUUUGAUGGCAGUGGGAAUUUCUUGUUUGUCAUUGGAAAUAUUGGCCUUGUACAGUUUCCAGCAAUUUACAGACAAGUUAGUUACUAUUCCUUAGAAAGAUCACCAUAAGUGAAUUGUAUGCCUAAGGCUAUUUGACCAUUUUGUUCCCCCCUCUAAUUCUGUCUUUUGGAAUAUAAGUGGACCCCAAAGUUUUGUUGUCUAAUUCUAAGGUCUAUUUAUUAUGUUUUAUGAUACAUGGUAUGACUGCUGAAGUAUACAUCUGAUUUAUGUCUCAGUGGUUUUCGUGCUAUUGGAAAAGGGUGCAAGAAGCUAAAAAAUCUUACUUUGAGUGAUUGCUAUUUCCUGAGUGACAAGGGUCUGAAGGCAAUCGCCACUGGCUGCACUGAAAUUACACAUCUUGAAGUUAAUGGCUGCCACAACAUUGGAACCAUUGGACUGGAGUCUGUUGGGAAAUCAUGCCCGUAUGUUCUGUUAUUUUCCCUUACCACUCUUUUAAAGGGACAGGAGGCCUGACUUUAGCAGGAGCUAGGGAUCAUAUGCAGUUCCUAUUGUUGGGCAUUCUUUGGUUUUCCACAUGUAGUUAAUUAAAAUUACCACGUAAAAUUUUAUUGCAAAUUUUUAACUGUGUCGAUUCUGAAGCUUGUGACUUGGUGUAGGCGCCUCACUGAGUUGGCUUUAUUAUACUGCCAGAGGAUUGGUAAUUUUGCUCUUCAUGAAGUUGGAAGGGGCUGUAAAUACUUGCAAGCUCUUCACUUGGUAGAUUGCUCUAGCAUUGGAGAUGAAGCGAUUUGCAGUAUAGCAAAAGGUUGCAGAAAUCUGAGGAAACUUCAUAUUUGGAGAUGUUAUGAGGUCUCUUUCUCUCUCUCUCUGUGUGAUGGAAUUUUUCCUCCAACUACAAAUAUUCUUGAACCACUACUACUGACUUGCUUGGGUGCUAUCCUGUUCUACAUUAGGAAAAUGGUUUUGCCUAUUGCCUGGAAAGGGAAACUGUCUAUUUAACGAGAUUUCUCCUCCUCCUCCCUCUCUCACUGAUGUCUUAUGUAGGACGUUUUUCUUUUCUGUGUAAGAUGGCAGUUAGAUGGUUAUUAUUUUAAGAAUGGAGUUUUGAACCAAAUAUUUUCAGAAAUGAUUGAAGUAAGAAAUUUAUUGAUAGUUUUUAAUGCUUCAUCUUUUUAGUCUCCAUCUUAUGUAGACUUGCUCGUAUCUUUCGAUGCUGGCAGUCAUUUGUUUUCAGUUUCAGCAAUUAUAAAUUGUGAUAUAAAUCAUAACUUGUAUGUCUUCCAUUGUCGAUAGGUUGGAAACAAGGGAAUCAUAGCUGUUGGUGAGCAUUGUCACUCUCUCACUGAUCUUAGUCUCCGAUUUUGUGAUAGGUGCAUCUCAUUGCAGUUUCCUUCUGGCUUAGUUUGUGUGAUAAUGCUAUUUCUUCAUGCUGUUUCAUGUUUUCAGCUGUUCUUGAUUUUUGUUUUGUCUGAAAUAUGGUUCCCUUAAUUGGCAUUUUAUCUAACUUUAGCCUUUUUCUAUUAGGGUGCAGGAUGAGGCUCUUAUUGCCUUAGGUCAGGGAUGCCCCUUAGAACAUCUAAAUGUCAGUGGCUGCAACCAAAUUCGGGAUGCUGGAAUUGUAGCCAUUGCAAGAGGAUGCCCUCAACUCACUUACCUAGAUGUCAGUGUUCUCCAGGUGUGUCCCUCUCCCACUCCGCCCCUUUGCUUCUGUUCUACUUUCUUUGUACGCUCUGGUCAUUAUGCUUACUUCUUCUGAUGCUGUACUCUGAUAAAAAUAUUUUGUUUUCGGAAUCUCAAGUGAACUUCAAUCUGACUGUUAUUUAUUUUGCUUGCAAUUCCUUUUCAAUACUUGCUUAUCAAUUCCUUCAUGGAAGAAUUUGGGGGAUAUGGCACUGGCCGAGUUAGGAGAAGGUUGUCCCUUACUCAAGGAUAUAGUGCUCUCACAUUGCCGCCGAAUAACAGACAUAGGUCUUUCCCACCUCGUUAAAAAUUGCCGAAUGCUCGAGUCUUGCCACAUGGUUUACUGCCCUAGCAUAACCGCCAACGGAGUUGCCACCUUGGUUCUAGUUGCCCCAACAUAAAGAAGGUUCUGGUUGAGAAAUGGAAGGUUAGCCCUAGAACCAAAAGAAAAGCCGGCUCAGUCAUCUCCUAUCUCUGUGUGGACCUGUAGUUAGGACAUCAAGUUGUGCAUAUCAAAGCUGGUCACAUUGACACGAUGCCUUGCCUGCUUAUUUAAUGGUUUUUUCUUUUUGCCCUUUUCAGAGUCACUUUCCAUGUAUUAUCAAGGCUCUUGUUAUAUGCAUUUUCUUUAAUAAGAUUUUAUAUUUUUAGUGAUAAAAUCUUUGGUUAGGAAGUUUUUUCUACAUUUUUGUUCAAAAUAUUUGUCAAAGUCUUAACCAAUAAAAGCUGCAGCUAUGACAUAUUAAAUCUUUUUUCUGUAAGAUGAGAGAAUAUUAUUAUUUAUUUUUGAAAUUUACCACGUAUUAAUUCCAUUCCAUGUGCCAUUCUUGACAAAUUGUAAGAGACAUUAAUCCCAAGGAAAAAAAAAAUUACUUAUGAAUUGACUUGAAUAUGUAUAAAAAAAAUCUGUUUAUUAAUAUUUUUAUUGCAAAAAAUAAUAAAAACUAAAAAAUAAAAGAUAAAUAACAAAACAAUCAAUCAAAUUAAAUUAAUAAUUCUAUGCAAUCUUUACUUCUUUAAUUUCCUUAUCUGUUUGGGAUUUUAAUUUGGCCCCAAAAAAUCGGAUUUUAAUAAGAAAAAAAUAUGCCAUUUGUUUAUUUUAUCGGUUUAAUUAAAUUAUUUUUAUUAAUCGAAUUAAAUUUAUUAAUUUUAAAAAUUAAUUGAUUAAAUUAAAUUCAAUCGAUUCAAUUAUUUUUUUAAUUAAUUAAGUAAUAAAUAUUUUAAAUUAAAUUAAAUUUUUAAUUUUUAUAUUUUAAAUAAAUUAAAUAAAAUUAUUUAAUAAAUAUUUAAAUACUAAAAUAUUAUAUUAAAAACUCUAAAAAAAUAAAAUAUUUUUUUAUAUAUUUUUGUUUAUAUUUAAAUUUUGUUAUAUUUUUAUAAAUCUACUUAUCAAACUAAAUUAAUUAAAAAUUAAAAAUUUUUUAAAAUUAUUUUUAUUAAUUAAUUAAAACUAAUUCAACAACUGAUUAAUUAAUCAAAAUAAUUCGUUUCGAACAAUUAAUUCAAUUAAAAUCGAUUUAUGAUUGUCCUUACAAAUGCAAAUCCAGGCGUUUUGAAUAAUGAGCAAAGCUUGGACAGUUACCAGAUUCCAAAAAAGAACCCGUCUUCCUACUUUGCUCGGCACCUUCGUUUUUUCCCAUUGUCAAUCUUUCUCUCUCUUUCACUUCAAGCAAAAACGAAAAGUGAAAUCCAAUCCAUGCCUAACGAUUGCAGUAUCAGAGCUCUGUGGAUCCUCAACAAUCUCGACGCCGUCGUUUUCUCCAGGUUUUAUCCAUCAGCGGAACUCGCUUUCCAUUUCAAAAUCUCUCAUACAUGAAUAUUUUAGGGAUUUGUUCUCUUUUUUUUUUUACUUUUUUAAAAAGAUUUGGAAAUAGAACUCGAUAUUACUUAAGAGGCAUGCUUAAGCUCCAAAUAAUUUUAAAAAAUGGAAAAUUUUGAUUUAGUUUGUUUAAACAUUCAGGAGGUUUCCGGUGGUGGAGAAGCGGUGGCUAGCUGCUUGCCAAACUGAAAGCCAUAGCUCGGAUGACGAUCCUGUCAAGUACACUGUAUUUUCUUCGCUUCCCUCGGAUUCAGAGUUAGCUGCCGCUUUCUCUGAGAGAAGGAGAAGGUUAGAUAAUCUUCCAGUAGCUCUUUAAAAAUCUUUUUCAUUACUGACAUGAACAUUCGCUUUUAUUACUUUUUUUAAGCUUGAAUCGCAUGUUAUUAUUAUGGCCUAGGUAAUUAUGCUGUGGAAUUAAAUAGUUGCUUAAUCCAACGAAAGCCUUAUUAUUAAUGCUUCAUUUGUUUGUUAUUUUAGCAACUUAUCUUUUGCCUCCGAAAGCAAAAACUAAAACAAUGUAUUUGGGUUAAAAAACAAAGAAUAUUAUAAAUGUAACACACAAACAUAGCUGUUUGAUAUAAUCCUGCUUUAAUGGUGUUAAUUGCUUUUCAAUUUUUAACUUUGAUUUUGAUAUAUGUGUUUUGUUAAUUUUUACUUGUUUGCUGUGUUUUACAGGGAGGGGUCUGUCCGGGGAUUUGGUAUACGGGUAAUACAGUCAAGAGAAGGAUCAGAUUCAUGGGUUGAUGAUCCGAUUACGCGUCAUAUUAUAGGCCUUUACAUAAACAAAGAGGAGGAAGGAGAGAAUAAUCUAUUGUGGCCUUUAGCGUUGCACAUAAAGGGUCCGUAUUGCAUCCUUAUACUGCCUUUACUUGAGCCGAGAUAUGUAAAGGCUUACGAAAGGUUGUGUAAGAGAUCUGAUUGUGGAAAUGCUGUCAUGGUAGAUGAAUAUUUAUCUUCUGUACUCCUUGAUCUUCCAUCCAUCACAGGGUAUGGUAAGUUACAUGCUGUAUUAUUCAUUUAAGGUAGUGCCGGCAGAUUGUUUCCAACAUUUAAAAAAAAAAAAAUCUAUAACUCUUUCUUUUUCUUCCUUUUCCUCUGUGAAGUUCUUAUCUAUUCUGUUUGUUCAGCUUCCUCUAUUUUAAGCUGGCUUUUCAUAGUCAUUUUCUAUAAGUUAUUGUUUUGUAUAACUCUCUGUAUCUUUAAUUUAGAAAUAGCUAUGAAUGAAUGUGAAAUUAUUUUGUCCUCGAUGUUAUGAGUACCUUCCGUGACAUGCCUUACAUGGAACAGAAAGCUAUGAGAAUUUACUACCGUGAUUUGUUAUGUUGUAAUUGUCAGUAAAGCUGGUGCUCAGCUUGUUUUGUGCAUUGAGUUUGUCAUACAACUGUUUCACACAUUAACUGAAUACAACUUGUCUAUAUAUAUAUAUAUAUUAAUUCAGUUUUUUCAAAAGGUUCAUUAUCUUUCAGUUCAUUACACAAUUUUGCAUCCUUUAUGUUACUAGGAAAAAGGGAGGUGACCUAUUGUUUUAGUUCUUUCUUUUCCUAUGCUGCAGGGCAUUCAUGGUGGCUCAUGCCAUCGGUGACAUAGUUACUGGGGAUGUAGUAGAGCCUGAGGUGGUUGUAAGUGCAUCACCAUCAGUGGGUGGGUUGUUAGACUCACUCACUGGAAGUAUUGGGAUAUCAGGAAUCUCUUCAAGGGCAAAGCCAGUAGCUGCACCUGUUGCAUCUUCUACACCAUCUGGCACUGCUGUGAUAGGAGCUCUUGCAUCUGAUGUUCAAAAAUUGGUUCAAGGCUUUUGGAUAAAGAUGCACUUAGAAGUUUCAUAAGUAGCGCAAUGCCUUUUGGUUGGUAUUUUUUUGUUAUGUUAUUUAUCAUCACAGAUGUCCUUUUAUAUUUUUUUAUUGUGGAUUAUCAUUAGUUUGCCUAACACUAUUUAAUGAUGAGUAAUUUAUCUUUUAUACAGGAACUCCCUUGGACUCAGCUAUUCCAACAUUUUCUCUAUCAAGGUAAAUGGCUUUUCUGCGUUAGAUAUGCCUCCACAAGACCUCAAGCAACCGGCAUGGAAGCCCUAUCUAUACAAAGGAAAGCAGAGAUUGCUAUUCACCAUUCAUGAAACUCUUCAUGCUGCCAUGUUGAUCGAGAUGAGAUUCCAGAUAGUUUAUCAGUCUCUGGGCAGAUAAACUGCCGAGCAGAACUGGAAGGACUGCCUGAUGUGUCAUUCCCCUUGACAGGGUUGAGCACAGCUAAAAUUGAGGCUUUAUCAUUCCAUCCCUGUGCUCAGGUUCCGGAACAAAAUGUAGAUAAGCAGGCUUUGAUGUUCUCACCACCUUUUGGGUAAUUUUGUGUUGAUGCGCUAUCUAGCAACAUGCAGUCUUGGACCUCCUGUAAAGGGAUUCUAUCAAUUGUCUAUGGUCUCUGAGGAUGAAGGUGCAUUUUUGUUCAAAUUGCACCUAAUGGAAGGUUAUCAGUCUCCUUUGACGAUGGAGUUCUGUAAUGUGACUAUGCCUUUUCCAAGAAGAAGGGUUUUAUCUUUUGAUGGGACCCCAUCAAUUGGAACAGUUUCAUUUGCAGAGCACUCUGUUGAAUGGAAAAUUAUCACAAGUGGACGAGGGCUUUCUAGGAAGAGUAUUGAGGCAACAUUCCCUGGAACAGUUAGGUUUGCCCCUUGGCAGACACAAAGAUUAAAUUCCGUUAGGUCAGUUUUUGAAAGUGCGACAGAUGAAGAUAGUGACAAUGAGACAGAGAAUACUAAUAAUAUGGUAAACAUAGAGGAGCUCUUAAUGGAGAAAAUGAGUAAGGAUCUUACUCCAGUUGAUCUAGAGGAGCCAUUUAGCUGGCAUGCAUACAACUAUGCUAAAGUAUGUUUUUUUGUCUUGACUUUUUUAGCCUUUGGUUGUUUUUUUGAGUUUCGGGAAUUCCUUCAAGUUACUGUAUUUUAUGCUGAUUUAUCAUCUGCGGACUUCUUUUCUUACCCUAAAAAAAAAGAGCGAUUGGCCUUGUCUGGUCUAUGCGUGUUAGCUAUAUAUGGAAAGGAAAAUAUUAUUAAACGGCAAUGAACUUUUUCUUACCUAGAGUAUGGCUAUGACUCAAUUCGAGAGAAUGCCCCUAGCCUUAUAGAGCUGGCUCUUAAGGGUCCAUCUUCUGCUGGCUUUCUGUCCUGGUCCCUUCUUCUAAUAUUGGUUCCCUUUUGAUUAAGGGCUGCGAUGACACCAUUCAAGGAGUUGCAAAAAAACUGAUUCCAACUCCUAACUAAAGUAAAAAAAAAAAGUCCCCAAAAGGAAAUGUAACAUCAAACAUGGAUUUGUGACCUGGUCCUCACUUAUGGUUACAGGUAUCUUUCAAGGUUGUUGGGGCAUCAUUAUCUGGAAUGUCUAUUGAUCCCAAAUCAGUAAGUCUACAUUUCUCCAACUUGCUUCCCAUGUUUAACUUCAGUUGACACUCUGCAUAAUGUAACAACUAACAAGAACAUAAAUGGAGAUUGUUUAUGUUAUACUCAAGUUGCUAGCUUUCCUAUGUAGGUAAGCAUCUAUCCUGCUGUAAAAGCACCUGUAGAGUUAUCGACGCAGGUAGAACGGUCUCAAAACACCAAUUUAAAUUUUGAUAGAUUUAGCUUUAUUUUCCUUUUGAAAUGACAGUCGAUUGUAUUUGUCCCUGAUCCUCUUCCUUCUGCGUUUAAGGAAAUGUACAGUUUUGUUGACUUCUGGGUUUAUAAACAGGUCACUUCUGGGGACUAUAUCAUGUGGAAUACAUUAGGAAAGUGCCCAUCUGCUGUUACUGCAAAAGUGUAAUGGAUGGCAUACAAUACCUCUCAUAAACGCAGACGGAUUUUUCACAAUGGGGUCAGCUGCCUCUACUGAAAUCUUACCACUUUUUUUUUUUUUUUUGUAUUAUGUAAUUACUAGUACUAGUUUAAAAGUAGUUUUAAUUUUGCUCUCAUUGAAAUUUAAUUGGCAUUUAUUUUAAAUUUAUUUAGACUUGUAUUAACAUCGACAAGAGGUUAUAUCUCCUUGUGAUGCCCACAUUCACCGAAUUCCACCAUAGAAACGCCUGUUCUGAUUCAGCUUACAUUUUCGAACCAGCAAUCUUGUGGGUCAUGGAAUUAGCCCGUAGAAAAUACAUCCCAAAACUGAAGUUAACCAUUUUGCACAGGGAUGACCAUGGAUUGUAAAUAAAUGGAUAUUUAUUAUUAUUUUAUUUGUUACAGAUAAUUAAUAAAUUCGAAUAAAAGAUUUAUUAUCUGUGAUAAAUAGGAAUAAUAUUUUUGAAAAUUUAAUAUUCAAAUUCGUUUAAAUUUUAAUGAAUAAUAAUAAAUAUCUAUAUCCGAAUUUAUCAUUCGUUUAUUUAUGUAAACAUAUAAAAUUUUAUGUUUAUAAAAAGUUUAGGAUUUUAAAAAAAUAAUUUUAAUUUAUUAUUAAUUAAUAGUGAAUUUAAAUUUUAAAAUUAAAAUUUUGUUUUUCUUAUAUUUUGAACAAAAAUUUUAAAAUAAUAAAUAUUUUAAUGGAUUUAAAUAUUUAAAUGAAUAAUAUUUAUUUAAAUGAAUUUAAAUUUGAAUGAUGAUAUUAAGUUUAAACGAAUAUUUAAAAAUAUUUAUAUAAUAUAAAUAUUAAAUGAAUUUAAAUACAAAAUAUUCUUUGUUGAAAUAUAGGCUAAAAUUUGCAUAACAUUAUUAUGGUUCUGCUAAUAACUUGUCUUUCAUAUUCACAUCCCAAAGCUUUCCUACAUCGUCGACGUCAAGGUCUGAGUCCAAGUAAUGUUUGAAAUAUUUUAAAAACGCUGACCAAAAAAACAAUUGUUAAUUGAUUAAACAUGAUGUAUUAAUCAAGGAGUGACUUAAAAUCUUUAGAAAGAUUUAAAAUCAAGGAAUGCUCAAGCUUGGAGAUUUGAAUUCUUCAUGAAAAAUAAAUUCUAUUUCAAGUUUACGCCAAAACUUUCGGAUAACCAAACAAUGAUAAUAUUUGAAUGCGAUGUCUGAAAUUUUGCAUUAUCAGAAUGCUCUCACAAAGACAACUCCCAACCAAACUCUCCAUCUGGGUUAUCAAAUUUUGAGUACUCAAGCCACCAGUCUUAUCAACUGAACAAAAAAUACUGACAGAGAAGGAAAGUUGAUUUGGAACAAGUCUGGAAUAGCAGGCAAUGAUUGAUAAUUGACCUUAACAGCCUGAUAAGGUGAUGGAGUCUCAACAUGCGCAAUGCAUUUUUCUGUACAAAUUUCAACUCAAAAUCAAAUGUCAAAAACUGAUUUUUUUUAUGUCUAAAAAAUGCAGAGCUUAUGGCUUAUCCCAUGCGGGUUAUGUUACAUAUUUUCUAAAAACUAAUGACAAGUUCCUUGACUAAUCUCAAAAUAUGUCAAAUUUUGUCAACUGAUCAAAGAAAAAGAUAAGAAGAAAACCAGGCAAAGAACAGUAACACCAUUCCAUUGUCCAAAAGUAAAAGGAUUUUGGUCUCAAUUGACAUAAUUUAACCCAACCCCUCCAAUCCAAUUUUUUUGAGCUUUUCUGUCAACGAGUCACUUCAGAAUUGGGAAGAAUCAAAGUAGAAAAUUGAAGUCAGAUUGACAAUUAUUUUCUUUUAAAUUAUUAUUUAUAGACAUUUUUUUUUAAAUAAUCGUUUAGAUUUUAUCGUAUUUUAGUGUGAUGUGAUUAAGUUUAUUAUCCUUUUAAUUGAAUUUAAAAAUUAACUCUAAUGAAAUUAAAUCAGCAUAAAUUUUUCAUUAAUUUUUUUUUAAAUUAUAGUUAUAAUAAAUUUUAUUAUUAUUUUCAAUCUCACCAUCCAUCCAAAUGAAACUUAAGACAGUUGCUUUGAAGUGUUAAUUUUUUUUAAUAUGUAAUCGUAUUCAUGAAUUUUUUUUUCAUAAAUCAAAAGUUAUGUUUUAAUAAUUUUUAAUUAAUUUUAAAAUUUUAUUAAAAAAAUAAAUUUUUAAUGCGAGGAAUCACAUCUAAUAAAAAAAAUUGAUAAUAAUUUUUUUUUAUUUUAAAAUUUUCGUCGAUCAAUCCCCAAAUUGUUAUAACAAUUUAAAGAAAUAACAAUGAAUAAUGAGAAUCAAAUCCGAGUUUUUGAAACACGAAAAUUAUGUGCCAAACAUUAAAUCAAAAACUAAAUGUUAAGUUUUAAAAGAGGAAAAUGGGAUCAUCAUAUAAUUAAAGAUGUAAAGGGGGAAACUGGUGGAACAUGAUUCUCUACACUGGGAUUGAAUUAUUUAAUUAAAGGGAUUAAUUCUUAAGCUUGAUGCCUUUUGUAUCAUGCAUGUCACGUUAAGCAUAUAAUCUUACUCAUAACAAUAUCAACAUUAUAAUCAUUAUGUUACAUUUUUAGCAGGAUACACUUCUUUUCUUCGUCUCAUUUCCCUACUUCUAGAGUAAUAGAUUCUUUGUCUGCCUAAUGAAACCACCUGGUGGGCUUCUUAAGGGCCUGUUUGGGAUGCAAGAAAACCCUUAGUACUUAAACAAUUCCAAUAUUCUAUGUCAAAUUAUCAAUUUACACCAAUAAACAAACCAAUUUCAAUUACGUUUUGUAAUUCAGUAAACCUUACAUAGACAUAAAAUGUGUUUUGAGCUGUUCAAAUAUUCCUAAAUUAAGAAGGAAAAAAGGGUUUUUCUAAAGAGUCAAAGAAAAAGAGAAUUAAGUAUCAACUAAAGGUUGAUUCGACCCUUUAAUUCAUUGGUCUUGAGAAUAAAAAAUUUUGGAUUCAGCCAUUGGUGACCAAUUGAACGAAUUACACACAUAGGUUUCAAGCUCCCUUUGGCAGGAUGAUGAGAGAUACUCAUAUUGCACCGUAAUGUUAUUUUAUGAUUAAAAUUUUAAAAAUAUAAUAAAAAAAACGUAAUUAUAAUAUGAUGAAAAAAAAAUUUUACUGUGUUUUCACUAAAAAAAAGAGAAUUAAGUAACAAAGUUUCAAGUGAGAUAUGCUUUGACAACAUAUCCCAGAUAAGGAUUUGAAAGAAAAAAAAAAAAGCAGCUAAUCAUAAGUGCUGUUCUAAGCACUUAUUAGAACCAAGUAUUAAUUAGGGUUCCAAGAUGUCGGCAGUGCUCUCUACCUGUUGGUCCACUAUCACAAAAGCCUAAUCACCAUAUCACAUAUCGCUUUGCUCUUCCAAAAAAGCUCUCUUAUUGUGGAAAGUGAGGAAAAUGUAGGGAGCUUUUCAAAGAGAUUUGUCCAGAGAAAAAAAAUGUUAAAAACGAGGGUGGGUUAUGAAUUAGGGAUACGUAGAAAAGUUGGGUUUAAUAAGUUAAUAGUAAGGAACCAGCUUUUGAAAGAGGGCAGAGAGUUGGAGCAGAGGGAACAUGAUGGCCUCCUUGUUUACAUAUCCAUGCCUGACACCUUGGUCCCAAUUGGCAUUAUCAAUGGCAUCAAAAACAAGUGUUUGGGGUCUCUCUAAAUUUUAUGAAAUCUCUUGAAAUUCUCUCCCAUUGCAGAACGAAAACAUGCAUUUUUCUACUCACUUUUCUAUGGGUCCACUUGUUUUUUGUGCUACUCUGGGUUGGUCUAAUUUUGGCUCCCAGGGCAUAAGGAAUGACUCAUGGUUAUGUCAUUGACAUUGCAACAUUUGAGUUAAUGUCUUAAAGGAUUGAAUUUUUAGCAUUCUAAAGUUCUUCAUAUUGCCUUUCAUUCUCUUUUUUCUUGCCUAAAGAAUCAAAUUUUCGUAUUCAUGUUGGUUGUGUGGGAUAUUUCAAAAAUGAAGAGUUAGCAGCACAACUAAAACAACAAAGAAACAUGAAAUUUAGCAAGCAAAAAUGAGAAGUCCAUCCGUAGGGAGACUAUGUAGCCAAGAAAAUCUUAGUCGUAUGUAACAUAGGAGAUGGGGGUUUGGGGUUCCAUCGUCAAAUGUAAAAUCAUUCAUCUCGACGUAAAAGUUUUAGAUUCCAAUUUAAUCGAUACUUUUUUAUUUUAUUAAAAUAAUCUCAAAUAUAUUAUCUUCAACUAUUAUUUUUAAACAAUCGUAUAUAACGCUCAUCUUAUUCCAAAGACAGACGGAGAUGAUUGGGUGGGACAGAACACUCAUGUACAGUACAAGCAUACUUAAAACUGUACGGUGAAAGGAAAGGAAUAAGCCAGUAAUAGUAGUUGUGUAAAGUGGUGGCAAUUGGGGUAAGUCAGAGAUAGAGAGAAGUGUGACACAGUAAAAUGAUUCUUGCUUUGAGCAAAUUCAUUUUUUAUCAGAAAGAUUCUGCAUAUUCCUUUUCUUUUUAUCAAGGGAAGGAAAGGACAGAGGGAGGAGAAGGGAUUCUUACACAAUAUCAAGCACGGAGGAAUGAUGCAACGAUGUCGGUUUGUCUGUUAUUUUCAUCCUCGUUGGUUGAAUAAUAGAUUUUGCCUUUGCCCUGCAUGGGGCUCGAGGCAUGUAUUUUCACUCAUUUUCAUGGGUGACUGAGAAAGAGAGGGAUUUUGUUUUCUAUGAGUUUUGUGGGCUUGGCUUUUACAAGGUUACUAUGUUAUGGCAAUGGCAACUUAAAAGGCUACCCUAACAUUUCUGUUUUGCCCUCAAAAAAUCUUAGCACUACGAGGUAUGAUUUCUUGUGGGAGCCAUAUCCAACUCGAAUAUUAAGACAGUUGUUCUUUCACUUCAAUAUCUCCUGUUUGUCACCAUUUAUCCACAUCUCUUUCACUAGUGUAAUUCACCCAAACGUUACCCCACCAAAAUUAAAAAAAAAUUACUAAAAACAUGAAUGUUUAAUGGUUAAUCCGAACCGGGAUUUGAUUUAAAUUUUUAUAUUAUAUAAUAUUAUUAACAUUAAAUAUUUGAUUUGAAUUAGAUUUUAUUGAUUUAGUUUGGUUUUUUUAAUUUUUAAGUUUUAAAUUUUUAUUAUUUAUAAUUAUUUUAAUAUAUUUUUAAUAUAUUAAAUAGAUUUCUAUAUAAAAUAAUUAUUUUUUAUUUUAUAAAAAUUUAAAAUAUAAUUCGAUUCGAUUCAAUUUUUUUAAUUUUCAAUGUCUUAAUCCAAAUUAAUAUAUAUAUUUAAUAUCUGAAUUUAAUUUGAACCAAAUAAAAAGUAUUUAUUUAAAUUAAAUUGAAUAUUAUAAUUUCAAAUUAAUUUUUAAUUUUUUCAAUUUUUUUUCUCACCCCUAUAUACUCAUGCUUCCUUUCCAAUCUCUUCCAAUAUUUGACCAGGAAAGCACUCAAACCCAACAAAAAUGAAUAUCAUCAUACCAUAAAACUGUUACAUAUGCUUGGAAGAUUUGGUUUUUGACUAGUGAAAUGUAGUUCUAAUGUAAUGUCAUGCAAACCAAAACAUCCCAAGUUUGGUGACUUUGUGUGAAUCGGGAAAGUCAAUGGAGGUGAAAGGGAGAGAUCCUAAUUCAGAACGCACACCAUUAAAGCUCCCAAAAAGAGCUGCUUGACGACAAGUUGAAAGUGAUAUAUAUCCCAAUGAAAAUGAACCCCAAAUCAAAGCUCUCAUCAGAGCAUGUGGACACUAAUGUCAUGUAAUCAUUAUCAUCUCAUCGUAAAAUCAAUUUAUUCUAGUGUAUACUUAUAUUUAUGUAUCUAAUAAUUUAUUUUUUUAUUCGAUACGAUAUUAAUAUAUUUUAUUUACUCUUUCAUAUGAUUAGUGUGACAUUUUUUUUCAUUUAAUUUUAUUUUUUUAAAAUAAAUGAAGAAUCGACUCUAAUAUCAUUUAUCAUGUAAUUAUUAUAAUUUUUUUAUAAAACUUAUUUAUUAAAAGUAUAUAAUACCAAUAUUUAUAUAUUUAAUAAUUUUAUUUUUUAUCCAAUAUAAAAUUAAUAUGCACUACUUAUUUUUUUAAGUGCUUAGCGUAACAGUAACAUAUCAAAAGGAACAGAAGCACAUACAAAACACAAGCGUUGGUGGGCCGUAUGUACAAUUUUAACAAUAUUUUGUGCGCAUGAUACAGUAGCACUCAGCAGGGCUCAUUUAUUAGUGCUACCAAAUAAAUUAAAAAAAAAAAAAAAAAAAAGGAAACCUACCCAUUAAGUUUUGGGUUGCCGCAUGUGUGGCAAAUGGUGCGCGUGCAAGCAUGUGUGGCGGCUAAAGGCAACUUGUUCCAUGCCCAGCGAAGUGCAGGUGUCGACCAACCAAGGCCCCUGUGGGAUUAUCUGUCCAAGAACAAAUUCAUGGCUGGACCCUUGUUUGCCAAGAUGUUAGGGCGCACAUUAGAUGAUGUCUUGUUGCAAUGGGGCCAGGCCACGGUCGUUGUCGGGGGUCACAUUCAACUGAUAAGUGGGGCCACACAUGGGGCUUAGCUUAGGUUGCAUGAUUUGGGUUUGGCGGUAGGAGAGGUUAAAAAGGUGGCAAAGUGGGACAAAAGAUUAGGAUUAGGAUUAGGCCUGGUUUUUUUUUUUUUUAAUUUCUUUUUUUUUUUUUGUCCCUUCAAAUUCAGAUGCAAUAAUUUUAAAUUUUAAUAAAAUAAUACAAAAAAAUAAUGAAUUCAAAAUUUAAUAAAAAUUUAAAUAUAUUUAUUUUAUAUUUAAAAUAUCAAUAUAAAUUAUAAUAUAAUAUUUUUUAUAUUUAAUAAAAAUAUACAUAAAACAAAAACAAAAAUCAUCAAAUGUAAUCCAAAAUUACCCAAGUUUUUUAAAAAGUAAAAUUAAAUCCUAACAAGGAAGAUUUUGGUUGCAUCUUUUGAUGUAAAAGGUUGGAUUUUGUUGAGAGUUUGGUUGGGACUUUUAAAGCAAGAUUUGAUUUAAAUAAUAAAUAGGUAUCAUUGUUGGAAGUGUUUGACCAUUUUUGUUGAGAGAGACAGACCCAAAAAAAAAAAAAAAAAAAAAAAGAGAGAAAAUUUAGAGAAGAGUUGAGUCGAGGGUUAGAGGGAGAGGAACUUUUUGUGUGCUUGAGAUAGAUAGUGUGUGAGUUUGGUGAGUGCGCGUGCAGCUCAAGAUGUCGGAUUGUGGUCAUAAUGGAGGCUGCCCUGCCAGCCCACCCAUAUAAGAUGAUUCAUGACGCAUACAUUCUGAAUCAUUCCCACCCUUUAAAACUGCAUAUUUCAAUUUUAACUAAACAUUUUUCAUCAUUAUUAUUGCCUCUCCACCCUUGCAUUUCUUCAUUUUGUUUUCAUGUACUCCUUUGUAAUUUUCAUCAAUAGAUAAAAGCAAUUUUCCAUAUUAAAUUAAAAUUAAUUAGGAUCAUCUAGUUGAUAAAAACAAAUGUGUUUUUUUUUUUAUCAAUUAGGAUUUUAUUAUCGUGAAAAACGCAUUUCAAAAAUAAAAUUUUGAAUGUAAGAGAUUGAUGAAAAAAGUGCACUCUUAAAGUUGUUAAAAAAAUUAAUCAAAGCAAAAUUUAAAAAUACCUUUAACCAUAUUAUAUAUAAUAUUCAAUUUGAAACAAGCUAGUGAAAUGGGAUAAUAUUUUAUUUGAUAUUUUAAUUAUUUUAAUUUAUUUAAUGUGGUAUCUAAAUUAAAAAUAUUUGUAAUAAGUUUUUAAAUUUCAUUUUCAUAUACUAAAUUAUUUCAACUUUUAAUAUCAUUAGAAUAACAUUGAUGUAAUACUUAAAUAUUGACGUGAAUGACACGUGAUUGUCAUGCAACAAUGAUAUAAUUGUUAUGUGUUAUUUUUUAAAAAUUAAAAAAAUUCUUUUUUAAAAAUUUUAUUUUUAAAAAUAAUACAUGACAAUCACGUCUCAAAUUAUAUGAUAGUCACAUAUCAUCCAAGUUAGUAUUUAAAUAUUACAAUAAUAUUAUUUUAACAAUAUUUAGGAUUGGGACAACUUAAUAUAUAGAAAUGAAAUUUAGAUACCUAAUUCAAUUUUUUUUUUUUUUUUUGUUUUGGUACUUCAUUAAAAAAAUUUCAAUAAUUUAGAGACCAAACGAAGUAUCAUCCCUAGUGAAUUCAUGCUCCACCAUUUCUAAUUCUAACCAGCUGCUUUUGAGAUAAUGAUGGUACUUUUUUUCUUGUAUUCCACCUUUGCUUAUUCAUGUAUCUCUCCUUUAUACUUGUAGAGGGAAGCUUCCUUGGAGCUUAUCAUGUUGAAUUAUUAUUGUAGUCUUUGGUGUAAAGUCUUAAAUUAAAAGCCAAGGAGACUAAAAAUGUCAUGAGGAAGGUAGUUUAAGUCAAUUAGGAAACUACUUCUAAAAGCUAUAUAUCCAAAGCACUAAUUACCUCCAUUUUCCAUUAUUUUAAUUCUUGUUUAUUUGCUAGUCUAGGUUCAUCUUCAUUAAAGCUACAAAAAAACCACUACAACAUGUUCAAUUUUCUAUUCUUGCAACCUAAAAUUCAUACAGGAAACUAUAUAUAUUAUCUGCAGUUCAAAACUAACUAUGACUUGCAAUUUCCAGGAUUGAAGAAAAACAUGGAAAUAUACUUUUAUAAUCACAAUUCAAAUUAUGUUAAGACAACUUAUAAAAGUUGAUUGAGUCGAUAAAAAUACUUUAUUUAUAAAAUUAAAAUUAAAAUUUUGUUGUAAGCAAAUUUUUUAAUGGGUGAUAUGUAAAUCUUUAUUGAGAGUAUGAGACCAAAAAAAAGAAUGUUAUGACAAACUGAGGCAUUAACAGAAAAAAGUUGUGAAAGAUUUGAUAAGAAAAUGAUGAUUAUUAAAAAAGUGAUAAAAUUAUUGUGUUUAAGUGGAGAUCUGCACUCAAUUUGUGAGAUAUCUUUUAUUUUAACGUGAAGAUUUUAUGAUUUUAUUUCACAAAAAAUGUCUUAUAAGUUUGAGAUUAAAUCUCAAUUUAUAUAUCAUAACAAAUUUUCAAAAUAUCUUGAUGUGAGAUUGAGGUGUUACAAAUUCUCUCUAUUAAAAUUUGAUGUCUCCUCAAACUUAACAUAAAACACAGAUCAAUCAAAUUACACCAAACGUUGGGCAAGUCCAACAUAAAAUGUACACAAAUUACAAGAUCACAUCAUAUGUGAGAAUUCUAGACGUGGCUUUCACCAUAUAAUGCUUAGCACCCACAGGAUUCUAGAAGUGGCUCUACAGUAUAGCACUUAACUUUUAUUUGACUGAUAAUCACUCUGAUACCAUUUAUAAAAAUUCGUACUCAACUUACGAAGUAUUAUCCGUUUAAUUUAAAGGUCUUAUAAUUUUAUCUCAUAAAAAAUACUUUAUAAAUUUAAAAUUAAAUAUCAAUUUAUAUAUAAUAAUAAAUCCUUAAAAUAUUCCAAUAUGAUAUUAGAGUAUUAUAGUUUAAAAAGAACAUUUUCAGUUCAAAUUAAUUAGGGAUAUGGUUAAGAAGAGUGCAUUAAGGAAUGAAAAAAAAAAAAAAAAAGGAUAUAAUGCUCAACUUCAUGGAAUUUUCUUUUUUUUUUGGUUCAUGGAGAAUAAAAAUGAUAUGAGAUUGCUUUUGAUUUUAGGGCUUCCCCUAAUUCAAGGAUAUUCUCAUUACAUAGUUGCCACGCCUGAUUCCUUUUGUAUUUUCUUUUUUAAUUUCUGCAAACUUGUGGUUCUGCAUAAUUAUUAUUUUACUCUAUAAUAAUAUUGAUGAUAUUUUGGCACGUCUAGCUUUUACUAAUCACCAUAUAUGCCUUCUUUCAGAUGGACAAAGCUUCCCAUUUAACCCAGUUGCUCUCAUCUCUUUUCCUACUAAACUUUUCACUGCAUUAACUACUUAAUCCAAAAACAAAUAUUCAAUUCACCAACAAGGUUUUGAAAAAAUAAAUUUAUCCACGAAUGCUUUAUCGACCUACAAUGGUUAAUUCAAGUGAUAAAGAGAUGAAUUUUUUUCGUUGUCAAUGAGAAUUUAAUCAUUAUGAAAAGCAUUUCAAAAAUAAAAUUUUGAAUCAUAAAAUCAAAAUUAGAAAAAAUGUGUUCAUAAAAUUAUCUUAAGCAAAAAAAUUAAAUAAAGACAAAAUCUGAAAACACCUAUCUUUGAAUUAAAAAAAAAUGUUUGUCAUGCUGAAUUUAUUCAAAAUUGCAAGAUUUUCAAUUUUAAAACACAUGUUCAUAAGUGAAUCACUGUCAAAAUUUUGUGAAAUUUUAGUUUAGUGCAAUAAAUUUACUGUUAUGUUAUGUCAUGCUCUAAUCCAGUUUUAUCUCACUGUUUAUUGAAUAAGUUAUGUAUUCAUAUGAUGUAAAAUAUUAAAAUUUAUAUAUUUAUAUGAUAUUUUAUAUAAAAUUAUAUAUCAUAAUUUACGUCGAUAUGAAAAUAAAAAAUUAUUUUUUAUUUUUUAAAACAUAUAUAUAAUUAAUAAUAAAAUUUCAAAUCCUAUCACUUUUAUAUAUUUUUCAUGUUAUCGUAAUAUAUUUUAAAUUAUAAGAUUUAAUUAUAAACCUAGUAGGUACUUGAAAACAUCUAUAAACAGCAAAUUAACAUCACCAGUCAUUUCUAAUUGCAAAUCUGAUGAUUAAUUUUCCUUCAUUGAAACAUUUGGUCCAGCAUAUGAUUAUGUUGCUGUUCUACAAAACUCCCAUGCGAAUGACUUCGAAACAGUAGUUCUCCAUAAGUUUUGACCCAAUCGUCAUGACCACAAUUCCUCUUAUGAAUGCAUUUAAUUUUGAUCUUUUUCAACGGGACUUUAACCCCCCAUUUUGACAUUUUUUUUCCCAUUAAAAAAAGAACAUACCAAAAAGUUUUCAAUGAUUUGAUGAUCCCAUGCUAAAGUCCUAGUUUGUUGGCUAAUCAAAGUUUUGCCUGUGAACAAUAGAAACUUUCUCAAUCUAAAAAAGAUUACAAUCUAAAAAUUAAAAAAAAUUUAAAUUUUAAAUCGAUAAAAUAUCAUCUCGUAAAAAUGAUUACAUGAAUUAAGUUAAGCUCAAUUUUCCAUUUAUCAUGUUUUUACUUACCAAUGAAGCCGACAGUAGGGGUGUUGGUACAAUUACACGUAUGCAUAUCAACUAAAUUUGAGACAAAAUCCGUAAUAACUCUCACAAAAAUGUUGAUGAGCAAAGAAGGAUUAUGUCUAUGAUUAUUGUGCUAUGGUCCCUCUAAUAUAAAUCAGUUCUCCCAACAGCAUCAUCCUUAAAUUAGUACCGAGAAUUAUUCAAUCGAAACACGUUGCUUUUUUUUUCAUGCCUUGUUGCUUCUUCGAAUUCAAACUAUUUGAUUAUAGAUUUGAGAUCAUCUAAAGAUAGAAUGCAAUAGUGGUCUUUUGAUUUGUUCCAAUUUAAUUUUUUUCAUAUAAUCUUAAAACUACUUUCUGAUAUCACUAUCGUACAUUUAUAAAUUUAUUCUUACAAUAUUAAGAUGAUAUAUGAGAAGUAUAAAUAAAGAGAAAAGCUAGGGGGCUUUAUUGAUGCUCAUUAGCAAUGGAGGAAUGGUGAUUGGGACUGACUGGAGAGGUGGCAAGAGUGGGUGCAUGAGCAUGACAAGAACCUGAAAUGCAUGCGCGUGGGCAUAAAUACCGUUCCAUUUUAUCCUUUGUAUCAUGAAAGAUUUCUUCUGUCAAAACAAAGGAAAAGAAAAGGGAAAUUUUUUACAACAAAUCAUCAUCUUAUUCACUUCAUUAUGGCUGCAAUCAUGAUUCUUGGUUGCCUCAUCCGCAUGCCCCCCUCUCCUUCUCUCCCCUUCCACCUUCCACUCUCUCUCUCCUCUCUCUCUCCCCACAAGCCACCUAUAAAAUCUAGUAUCCCUCCCACUUCUCUCUCUCACCUGUAGUUGUUCAAACAUCCAUAAAUUAACAAGAUCUGUCUCUUUUUUCUUGUUUCCCGUUUCUGUUUUCAAGUUUCUGUCUUUGGGUGUUUGUUGUUUUGUUUUGUCAAGGUCUUAGAAAUGGCUGUUUCAGGGUUUGAAGGGUUUGAGAAGCGCCUAGAGCUCCAUUUCUUUGGAGAUGAUCCAGUGAAUAUUGACAAUAUGGGGCUUAGGCUGCUUGAUUUCGAAUCACUCGAGCAAGUUUUACAUGCUGUCCAAUGCACUGUUGUAUCAGCUGUUGGGAACCAUUUCUUUGAUGCUUACGUGUUAUCAGAAUCAAGUCUGUUUGUUUACCCUACCAAGAUCAUCAUCAAAACCUGUGGAACCACCCAACUCCUCAAAUCAAUCGGUCCAUUGAUCCAUUUUGCAAACAAUCUUGGCCUCACUAUAUGCGGGUGUAGGUACACGAGGGGCAGCUUCAUUUUCCCCAAAUCACAACCUUUCCCUCACACCAACUUCAAAGAAGAAGUCAUUUACAUUGAAGAAAACCUCCCCAACAAUCUUUGCCAUAGAAAAGCCUCCGUUUUGCCUUCGAAACUCCCUUCUUAUUCAUGGCACGUUUUCACAGCCAGUGACCAAACUCACCUGCCACAAUUUGCCUUGAAAUCCCCCGACGUUAUGUUCACUGUCGAAGUUUGCAUGACCGAACUCGACCGCUAUCUAGCACGUAAGUUCUUCAAAAAAGCUGGAGAUAGCAAAACAGGGGACUCAGCUGGCAAAGAAAUGACAGAGCUAACAGGCAUCGACAACAUCAACCCUGGCGCCUUCAUUUGCGACUUUGCAUUUGACCCCUGCGGCUACUCCAUGAAUGGCAUUGAUGGUGAUCGUUACUCAACAAUCCAUGUCACCCCUGAAGAUGGCUACAGCUACGCUAGCUUCGAGUGCGUGGGGUCCAUUUACGACGACCAAGAUGACACUGUUGAAACCCUGAAGAAAGCAGUUCAAGUUUUCAAACCAGCAACAGUUUCAGUUUCGACAACAAGCAAUAGCCAUGAAGUUUGGACAAGGGUGGCACAUGCUUUGGAGCCACUGGGACUCAAAUGCCGGAGCUGUGCAAUGGACGAGUUCCCCACCGCCGGUACCAUCGUUUUCCAAACGUUCACCGCGGCUCGCCGUAAAUAAGCCGGAGAAAGAAAACCCAAAACAAAAGGUAGAUAAAAUCAGAGAAGUAGAGAGGUUAGUUGGAGAAAAUUUUAAUUGGAGGAAAAUCAAAGGAUAAAAAUAUGAUGACGUGGAGGAAUUUUAUUGGUUGAAAAGAGUGAUGAAUGUGGUGUUGACUCAAGUAGGAAGAUAAAAAAAAAGUGUAGGGGAUUUUAUGGGAAUGACGUGGCAGAUCAAAAGGUGGGGAGGAGGAGAUGUGAGAAAUUGGAAUCACCAUGAUAAUGCACCCCACUUUGGAUUGUCACGCCUAUGAUUUUUGAGGUUAUAUGUAGUGGUGGAUUAAAAAAAAAAGUGCUCAUGUUUUUGAAGGUUUAUUUGAAAUCUUUCUCUUUCUUUCCUUCUAUUUUCUCCUUUUUUUUUUUUCUUUCCAUUCCAUUUGCUCCCUUUUCUUUUAUGUUUUAGAUGACUAAGAAAACAAAUUACACUCUUUUCUAUUCUUUUCUCUCCUUUUCAAUUGUUCUUCUAUUUCCUCUUGUUUUAUGCAUGAAAUUUUCUUUACAACAAUUAUGCAGCUCUCGUGGAAGUCACCAUAUAUAUUUUAUUAUAAUGAAGAUUUUGAUAUAGUAAUAUUUUGUCGUUUUGUCAUAUAAUUUGCACAUGAUUCAAAUUUUACUUGAGAUUAUGUUUUUUUUUUUUUUAACUUAAGACAAUCAUAUUUUGAAAUUGAUAAUUAAAAUUAAAAGUUAAAUAUUUUAUCAAUAGAAUACGUAAUUAAUAACAACUCGAGCUUAUGUUAUUUAUAUGGUAAAGAGUUGGUCGAUUUCAUAAAAAAAAUGCAAAAGAAAAGAGAAUUAGAAUGGAAACAAAACAAGUGCAAUUGCUUCUUAUGUACGAUGGAUUGAUGGUUUGUUAAAUGCGAAGAGAAUGCUAUACCUACCAAGGAAUUCGGCAAAAUAAUUGAAAAUUUCCCAUGACCAUUUUGCAAAAUACUAGCUUCUAAACUAUAACAAAUAAUAACUAUUUGAAUUGAAUUUGAUUUGAUUUUUUAAAAUAUUAUAUAAUAUUAUGAAUUUUAAAAUUUUGGCGUAAAUUCAAAUCAACUCUUUAUAUUAUUCGAACCAAAUCAAAAAUUUCUUAUUCAAUUCGAUUUAUCAAUUUUGUAAAAUUUUAACUUUUAAAUUAUAAAGGUGAUAACUAUUAGAAUUUGAUUUGAUUUGAUUUAAUUUUUUUAAUAUUGUAUAAUAUUAUGAAUUUAAAUUUUUGAUUUAAAUUCAAAUCGAACCUUCAUAUAAUUUAAAUCCAAUUCAAAUUUUCUUAUUCGAUUUGAUUUAUUGGUUUUUAAAUUUUAAAUUUUUUAUAUAUUAUUUUAAUAUAAAAAUUAAAAUAAAUUUUGAUAUAAAAUUAUUUUUUUUAUUUUAUAAAAAUUCAAAAAAUAUAUAAAUUAAUAAAAUAUAUAAUUCAAUUUAAUUCGGUUUAAUUUUUUUUCUUCUAAUCUUAUUUGAACUAACAUAUAUAUUUAAUAUUUAAAUUUAAUUUGAAUCGAAUAAAAAAUUGACCUAAAUCAAAUCACACAUUACAAUUUUAAAUCAAAAUUUGAUUUUCUUGAUUUUUAUAUCCUAAACUAUUACCAAUAGCUCUGAUGCAAUUUGAAAAAAAAAAACAAGGCCCGUGACCUUUGAGAGAUCCAAUUUUUGAACUAGGCCAACUCAAAAUAAGGUAGCAUAGCCAAUUUUUUGGUCUUAGCACUUAACAUUCGUUUGGCUGCCAUUUAACAUAGCUUGGGAUUGAGAACGAGCUAUACAUGAAAAAUAGUGAUUUUGGCUCAUUUGGUAAAAAAAAAAAAAAAAAACAAGUUUAUUUUUUUAUUGUUUAAAUUUGUUAAAAAUUAUUAAAAAAUAAUUUUUUAAUAAAUUUAUUAAAUCAACGUAAAUAAUUUAAUUGAACUAAUUCAACAAAAAUAUAUAAUAUCGGACGAAAUUCAAAAUCCCUUUACCCUUAAUUAUCUAGUAGAAAUCAAGGCAUGGUGGUUCUGAUUUUGGAGGACAUGAUUUGGGCUUAAUUCUAAAAACCCUUUUUUUCUUUCUUUCCAGACUUGGAAAGUAGGGACAACCUCCUAGAAAGAAUAUGACAAUUCAACAAUACACGAAUAACUUGAUUGCAACCUUAAGUUGAAUUUAAAUAUUAAUUUUAAUAAAAUUAAAUUAAUAUAAAUUUUUUAUUAAAAUAUUUUUAAUCAUAAUUAUAAUAAUAAUUAUUAUUAUUUUCAAUUUAUUGUAAUUAAUCUCAAAUGAAACCUUAAUAUAUAAUUUGUGAGUCAAUAGUUCAUGAUUUGGUUGGCCAAUUUAGAGUAGAUUAAGAUUUGGUUGGGCUUGCUUCUAAGUUUUAACUCGGUUUCUCUCUUGGGGCUAGUUCUUUUGUUAUGAAUACUAAAGCCCAGUUCAAAUGCCAAGUGGAUGCAAUAUUUUAUAAAUGUUUUUAUCUCAAUUUGCUGUAAUUUAUGUUCAACUGGUAGUUAAUUCAGUUCAUAUAUCAUUUUAAAAAAUAAUAUUUAAUAAAUUUAAAUUUUAAAUCUUAACAUUUAUAAUUUUUUUAUAUUUUUAUAUUACGAAUUUUUUAUAUAAAAAAAAAGUUUAAGUGAAGGUUUGAUUACAGUAACUUGUUUAUAAGGUUGGUAAUUUAACCCAUUACCGACGGGUUUUGACUCGAUUUGACCUUACGGGAUCGAUAUUUUUUUUAGUUUCGGGUUAAAUAAGAUUAUGAACAAUCGGGUUCGGAUUUUAGGCAAAUUCGACCCAACCCGAUCUGAUAUUAUAUAAAAAAUUAUUUUUUAAUUAAUUAUUUAAUUAUUUAUUUAUAUUAUAAUUUAUAUAAUGAUAUUUUUAAUAUUUAUAUUUUAAAAAUAAUAUUUAUUAAUUUCGAGUCGGAUCGGAUCGAAUACGAUUUAUAUAAUAUUGGAUCGAGAUUGAAUUCAGGUAUGAAAAAAUAAAAAAAAUUCAAAUAAUAUCAAGUUUAAGACAAACAAAACCCACCCCGAACCUGACUCGAUAUCAACUCUACUUGUUUCCUUUGAUUUCCAGACCCCGGUGAUUACAUUCCCAAGCAAGCAUUAAAUCCAGCAAUGUAGAUGAUACAAAUCAGAUAACAGAAAAGAAAUUUUUAGCUAAUGCAUGUCUUCUAAGUUUUAAAUAACUGAGAAAUGUUGAAUAAGUGUUGAGGAACACUGGAACAGCUUGGAAAACACUCUCUCAACCUAAAGCAAUGGCGAAUCCCCCUUAUGAGUUAGUGUGUUCGUAGACACCUCAAAAUUAAAAAAUAAAAAAUUUGAAGAAAAAUUUUCACUUAAUAAUUCCUAAAUUAUCCAAUGGACAUUUCAAACAUUGAAGAAUUAAAAAAUUUUAUCACUGAACAGUUCCAAAAUUUCUCAUGAACAUUAUUUACGUUGACAAAAUUAAUAAAUUUAUUGAUAAAGAAAUAAAUAUAUAUAUAAAUAAUGUAAGAUUAUGUUUUUUCUUGUGAAAAGAAUAUAUUUGUUGGUCAUAAUUUGAACUGUGACAAUAAUAAAUUAAAUAGUAAAAAUGGCUUGGAUGUAUUCGAAUUAUAAUAUAAUUAUUUCAUGUAAAUAUCUUUAAAUAGUGGUAUUUAAUAAUUUAGAAUUCAAAUUUUAAUAUUUGUAAUUUAUUUUUAUCUUUAAAUUGUAACAUUUUUUUUUUUGUAAAAAAAAAGUAUUUUAACAUAUAAAUCAAAGAAAUUUCGUUAAAUUAGAAACUAUUACAUUAGCAAGCAAUUAAAGUUUGACCAAAUUAUGAACGUAUAUGCUUAUAAGCACAAGCUAAAAUAGUUAAAUAUUAUCGUAAGAAAAAGUUUUACAUUUAGUAUAUUAUUUUUACUAAAUUUAAUAAAUAUUUAUAAAUAUAAUUUUUAAAAUAUAAUCUUAAUUACUAUAUGUUUAAAUAAAUAUUAAUAAAGAAAAGGAAAAAAAUAAAAGAAAUGAAGGGUUUUUAAAGUAAUGGAAAUUAAUGGUUUUUAAAGUAAAGAAAUAUAUAAUAAUUUAUGUCUUCGUAUCGUAUAAAAUGUUGAUAAUUUAUAUAUUAGUGUUAUCAUAACAAUUUUUUGUUCGGAGGACUCGAGCACUAGAUUUAAUGAAAAUUUUCAAAAUUAUCAUCAAUCUUUUUUGUAAGAGUGUUAUUGGUCUUCCAAAAGAUCAUUUUCGAAUAAAAAAAUCUCAAAAUUAACUGAGAGUUACUAAAAAAUGUUUUGGUCUACGAAAUCAAGAAUGGAUUUGGAGUAUGAUUAGAAGUAGAAAAAGUGUUAAUACCCCUUACAUCACUUUAUCAAAAAAUAAUUCCAAUUAAAUAUGUGUUUUUCAAUUACUUUAAUAAUAUGUUUUUUUUUUAAUAUUUAAAGUUGAUUCCUUUAAAAAUUUCUUUAAGAAAAACAUUUUUUUGUGAAAUUAUUAUUAUUAUUCUCAUUUCCUAUGAAUUCUUUAGCACUCUAGCAGAAUCUAUAGAACAGAUCUUUGUUCAAAAAAUUUUCAAGAAAAUUGAUAAUUCUCAAAAUUUUUAAAAUUUCAUCAUAAGAUAUUUUAUUUAUUUAUUAGAGUUGAUUUAGAAUUAGUUCAACUCUUUUGAUGAAAUCUAGAAAUCAUUUCUUAAACUAAUUUUAGGAUUAUCCCAAUUCUUUAAUAAAAUCUUUAAAAAAAAUUUAAACUAAUUUUGGAUCAUCCAACUUUUUAACGAAAUCUUAAAAAUUUUUAAAUUAAUUUCAAGAUUAUCCCAACUCUUUGAUGAAAUCCAAAAAUCAUUUCUCUUAUUGAUUUUAAGAUCAUCCCAACACUCUAGCAAAAUUCAAAAAAUCAUUUCUCAAAUUGAUUUUAGAAUUAUCCUAAAUUUAUGACAAAAUCUUAAAAAAAUCAUUUCUCUUGAUAAUAAUUAAGAAAAAUGAGACUCUUUCAAAAAAAAUUUUAAAUUACUACUAAAGAAUUUAAUUAAACAUUUUAAUUUUUUUGGUUAUUUUGUUAUUAUUUUUUAUUUAUUAUUUCAUUAUUAUUUUUUUUAUUUAAAAUAAAUCUUAUUUAGUAAAAAUAACUUUUUAGAUUAUCCAACUCUUUUGGUGAAAUCCAAAGUAUUUUUACUUGCAUUAAUUAAAGAAAAUUGAAUCCUUUCAAUUUUCUUUAAAAAUUACAUUUUAAAAGAGUUAUUCAAAUAAUCAAUUAUUUUUUCAUUUUUAUUUUUGUAGCAAAAAUAAUUUCUUAAAUCAUCCCAACACUUUAGCAAAAUUCAAAUAACAUUAUUGUUUAUAAAAUUAAGGCAAAAUAGAACUCUUUCCAUUUUCCUUAAUAACUAUUUUUUAUUUAAUAUUUUUUAUUUUAGAUUAAGAACAAUUAUUUAUUCUUGAUUUUGUAUUUUUUAUUAAAAUUAUUACUCAUUAUAAUUAUUUAUUAUUUUUUGUGUAAGUUAAAAAAAUACAUAUAUAUUUAUGAAAUAAAUUCUAACAAAAAAUAACAAAAUCAAAUCAAAAAUAAAAAUAAAAAUAGAAUGGAAAAAAAAAAGAGAAAAUAUUACCAAACGGAUCAGGUCAGACAUGCAAGUCAAUGCACAAGUUAAAACCAAGUCAGGUGUGAACUUUUUAAUUUCAAAAUGAUGUCGUUUUAGGUCUCUACAAAAGGCCCAUAGUUAGAGGAGUUUUUAAAGUAUCAUAACCUCUUGUUAGAUAAGUUUUUUUUAAUUUUGAGAGCCUCUGGAUAGAUGACUUUUUCAAAAUUAGGCAUGAUUUGUAAAAUCAAAAGAUAUAAUCUAUAAGACCUCUUAGAUUUUUAAUUUUAAGUAUCAUUAUCUCUGGUUAGUUGAGUUAUUUCAAGUUUUAUAGCCUCUGGUUAGAAAUUUUUUUUCAAAGUUUCAUAAUUUCUAGUUACAAGAGUUUUUCAAAGUUUCAUAUCCUCUGGUUAUAAGAGUUUUUAAAUUUUAAAAACCUUUGGAUAAAGAACUUUUUUGAAAUUAGACAUGAUUUGUACGACUAAUGGGCAUAAUCUAUAAAUCCUUUCAAAAUUUAUUUUUUCAAGUGCCAUGGCCUCUAAUUAAAAGAGCUAUUUAAAGUGUCAUAGCCUAUGGUUAGAGGAGGUUCUUAUAAUGCCAUAGUUAUUGGUUAGAGGAGUUUUUUUAAAAAGCGUUAAAGCCUCUGAUUAAAGGAUUUUUUUAAAAUCUAUUUGCCUCUAGUUAAAAAUGUUUUUCAAGAUCAGGUUGGAUUUAUAAAAUGUUUGGGAUAUAAUCUGUAGGACCUUUGAAAAUUUAAAUUUAAAGUGGUAAAAGCAUCUGGUUAGAGGAGCUUUUAAACAAAAAUCAAAUUAUUUUCAGUCGAUGGUAAAAAUAAAAAUAUGUGGUGUGCUUUUGUGUUUUCCUUAUUUCUUUCUUAAAAAAAAAAAAACAAAAAUACAAACAAAAAAAAGAAAAAGUAUUGGUUUUUGUAACAUCAUGUUCAUCUAGACAAAUUUGUUGUUUUUUAGUUUUUGCCCAAUUCCUAAUUGUCAGAAAUGUGGAAAGAAGGGCAACUAUAAAUACUUAAUUUUAUUUAGGUUUAUCAAAAUGGAUCCAAAUGGAAUUUAUAAGUUUUAUGUGUCUAAUUUAAACUUAUUCGAUUUAUUAGUGGAUACAGUUAUUCUUAUUAUUUUAUUAAAUAUUUUUAAAGUAAAAAAAAAAAGAGUUAUAAAUUUUUACAAGAGGUAAGAAACUAUGGGAGCAAAAGUUUAAGCUUUAUUCCAUUUUUCUUAGUCACCACCUAAUCAAUUGAAAAAAUGAAUUAUAAUCCCUAGAUUUAAAGGAUUUGAUUAGUGUUAGAGUUAACAAUUUGCUACAAAAGACCUAAAUUUCAAUCGAAACAGAAAAUCGAUUAAUGGUUUUAAAGAAAAACACCACUAACUUUAGAAAUUAAGGAUUUGAAUCCCUGAAGAUCUGGAUAAACUCGACAAAUCAAGGGCCAAUAGAGAGAGUUUUAAGGGGAAAAUUUCAUAAAAAAAAAAAAUUUGACAAGAAAUCUACUGCCAUUCUGCAAAAUCACACACCCACAAAGAAAUCAAAAUACCAACACCCAAAGUUAUCUUAUCCUUUUAUGAGGAAUGACAGUAAAAAAAUUAUUUCAAAGACAAAAGAAAAAACCAUUCUGUCUAGAUCAAUCCAACCCAAAAUCACACUAAAAAAAAAAAUCAUCAUCCACCUCCCUUAAAGGGAACCGGGAAAAAAAAUUAAAAAAAAAAAGAAUCGAAAGCAAAAUCUUUGAUUUAGGUUGUUUGAAUUUUUUUUUUUUUGAAAAAACUAGUUUUAAAAAAGUAUUUGGGAGACAAAAAAGAUCAAUUUGAGAUUUUUUUUAAAAAUUUUUGCUUUACCAAAAUUUUAAAAAAUACGAAUUUUUCGACAACCAUUUGAAUUUUUCGACCAAUGGAAAUUGAAAAACAUCCGACAACUAUAAAUUUCUUGAAUUUUUUAAAGUCGAUUAAAGUUUUCAAUGAUGGCAUGGAGGCUACCCUCCAAAAACUGGGAUUACAUGAUGGUCGGUGAACGAAAAAGAACUAAAGAAGGGUUUGAUGGAAGAGAGAAAGGGAUAAGAAAAAUAAUAAUAAAAAAAAAGAUUAGGCUUUGAUUUUCAAACCUUCUCUCUGUUUUUUUUUUCAUUUUANNNNNNNNNNNNNNNNNNNNNNNNNNNNNNNNNNNNNNNNNNNNNNNNNNNNNNNNNNNNNNNNNNNNNNNNNNNNNNNNNNNNNNNNNNNNNNNNNNNNNNNNNNNNNNNNNNNNNNNNNNNNNNNNNNNNNNNNNNNNNNNNNNNNNNNNNNNNNNNNNNNNNNNNNNNNNNNNNNNNNNNNNNNNNNNNNNNNNNNNNNNNNNNNNNNNNNNNNNNNNNNNNNNNNNNNNNNNNNNNNNNNNNNNNNNNNNNNNNNNNNNNNNNNNNNNNNNNNNNNNNNNNNNNNNNNNNNNNNNNNNNNNNNNNNNNNNNNNNNNNNNNNNNNNNNNNNNNNNNNNNNNNNNNNNNNNNNNNNNNNNNNNNNNNNNNNNNNNNNNNNNNNNNNNNNNNNNNNNNNNNNNNNNNNNNNNNNNNNNNNNNNNNNNNNNNNNNNNNNNNNNNNNNNNNNNNNNNNNNNNNNNNNNNNNNNNNNNNNNNNNNNNNNNNNNNNNNNNNNNNNNNNNNNNNNNNNNNNNNNNNNNNNNNNNNNNNNNNNNNNNNNNNNNNNNNNNNNNNNNNNNNNNNNNNNNNNNNNNNNNNNNNNNNNNNNNNNNNNNNNNNNNNNNNNNNNNNNNNNNNNNNNNNNNNNNNNNNNNNNNNNNNNNNNNNNNNNNNNNNNNNNNNNNNNNNNNNNNNNNNNNNNNNNNNNNNNNNNNNNNNNNNNNNNNNNNNNNNNNNNNNNNNNNNNNNNNNNNNNNNNNNNNNNNNNNNNNNNNNNNNNNNNNNNNNNNNNNNNNNNNNNNNNNNNNNNNNNNNNNNNNNNNNNNNNNNNNNNNNNNNNNNNNNNNNNNNNNNNNNNNNNNNNNNNNNNNNNNNNNNNNNNNNNNNNNNNNNNNNNNNNNNNNNNNNNNNNNNNNNNNNNNNNNNNNNNNNNNNNNNNNNNNNNNNNNNNNNNNNNNNNNNNNNNNNNNNNNNNNNNNNNNNNNNNNNNNNNNNNNNNNNNNNNNNNNNNNNNNNNAACUAUCACUAAAAUAGUCUUAUCACAUGUUGUGACUUAUCUGUAAUUUAAAUAACUUUAGAAAAAUUUAAAAGAAUAAAGUAUUCGUAACCAAAAUCAAAUAUCUACGUUUUGCCCUUACAUGAGAAUUUUUAAUAUAAGAAGCUCUCAUGCACUAGUUUAAUGAAAGAAUAAAAGUAAAAAUAUAUAUGAAAAUAAAAUAUAUUUGUUCUUGUAAUUUAAAGAUGUAUAAUAUAAGUUUCAUGAAAAGAAAAAAUUAUAUAUGAAUACAUAUUUAUUGUGACUGUAUAUGUGCGGAUUCAUUACUCUUUGUAUGAAAAUUAUUUGAUGUAAAUCAAAGAAUGUUCUAUGCAUAGAAUAAACAAAUUUUAAUAUUGUAAAUUAAAGAGUUACUGAUUAGACAAGUGAUGUAUGAAAGUGUAAGUCAUAACGUUAAUAUUUCUCUAAAAAGGGAACAAGUAAUGAAAGUGUUCUAAAGAAAAUAGGAGAACAAGUAGUGGUAAUGUUUCUUUAAAAAAAAAAGAGAGAAUAAGCAAUAAAAAUGUUUCUCUACAAAAUAGAAGAAUAAGUAAUGAGAGUGUUUCUUUAAAAAAAAAGAGAAAUUAAAAGAAAUAGGUAAUAUAAGUGUUUCCCUAAAAAUAUAGAAUAAGUAAUGUGAAUGUUUUCCUAAAAAAUAGAAAAUAAUGAAUGGAACAAUUAAAAAGAAUAUUUCUAAAAAAAUUCAAUGAAACAAUUAAUGGGAUUGUUUCCUUUAUAAAUAUGCAUGACUUCAAUAAUUAACAAUAAAAUUGUCUUUCUCGUAAGAAAAAAAAAAGUAAAAGGAGUAAUGUAUAUAAUUUUUGUAUUUCUAGAAAUGAGAAAAAAAAAAGUAAAGUAUAUAAUUUAAUUUUUUUUUUUUAGGAAUCACUUGUUUUUAUAUGGAAGUAAAGUUUGUAAGUUUAAAGUUCAUGCAACCUAUAAACAAAAUUUUUACCGAUGAUAUGAUGUUAAAAAUUUUGUAAAAUUAGUAGAUUAAAGUUUUUCAACUUGCGAUGUGUCUUUGUAGAACCUAUAAUCGAGCCAACAUUCUUUUAAAGAUUUAAUUGUGCCCUAUAAUAGUAUUCUAUGUUUAGCUAAAUGAAAAAAAUUAAUUGCAAUAUAGUAAAAUUUUGUAUAGAAUAUCUAGAGUAUUAAAAUCUUUUGAGAAUAAAAUUUAAUGAAAUUUUAAAAAUAAAAUUAAAGAUUUUGAAAUUUUAUUAAAGAAUUUUUUAAAUAAGAAAAAUAAAUAUUUGUUAUUAAAGAAAUUGAUUCUAUGGAUUCUAUAAAUAUAAGAAUUAUAUACAUGAUUAACACGAAUAUAUACAAGAAACUGACUAAAAUAAUAAAUAAUUAUAAACUAUUUAUCAUUUACAACUUAAUAAAUUUGACAUAUUAUAAUAUAAAAAAUAUUUAUUAAAAAAAUUUAUACUCAAUUAAUAUGUAUUUAAUAUAUAUAUUUUAAUUUAUAUUACAUAACUAUAUUAAUUUUUAGUAUCAAAUUCAAUAUUAUAAACUAUUAAAGAUUAAAGAAUAAAAUAAUAAUGUAUAGGAUUACUAUUAAUGUUAAUAUUGUAUUUAUAUUAUUAAUAUAAAAAUAAUUUUAUAACAAUUAUUAAAUGAGUAUCAUAAUUAAAUAUUUAAAAUAAUUUUUAUAUGAUAUUAAAUAGCUAAUUAAGUAUUAUAAUUAAAAGAUUAAAAUUAAAAUAAUUUUUAUAUGUUUAUAUUAAAUUAAAAUAAAAUUAAACGUGUAAACAUGUUAAACGUUUACUCGUAUGAUAAGAUUAAAUUAAACGUAUUAUUUAUGUUGUAUCACGUAUUUAAACGAGUUAAUACUUAUAUGACACAAAUUCUGUUGUGUCAAAAUUUAUGUCGACACAAAUAAAUAUGAAACAUGUUUUUUUAAAACACAUAUCCAAUUUUUUUCGUAUCAUUUUCGUGUCGUAUUAUCAUAUCGUAUCUGAAAUUAUUAAGUUUAAAUAUUUGUUUACUUCAUUUUUAUCUUUUUAAUUAAUUCUUAUUUAUUUUUAUACUUAAUUUAAAAUUAUUAAUUUCAUCUAUAAAUUUAAUUAAAAACUAUAUUUAUCACCCUUAAAUUAAGCAAUGAAAAUUUUCAACAAAUUUUAAAUAGCGAUGAGGAUUUUUUUCCCCAAUAUCAAUCUCACAGUCACUGUACCUGUCCAGAGAUUUAUUUUCGUCUAUAGGAAUUAAUUCAAAAUCAACCAAUAAGGAAUUGCUAAUUGCUUAGGUGUCGUUCGCUAACGUUUUCGUUUUCUAUUUUUUGUUUUCGGUUUCAUUUUUGUUUUAAAAUUGAAAACAAAAACAUAUUUGGAAGGUUUUUUUUAUUUUUUAUUUUUAAAAAUUGAAAAUAAAGUUUUAGAAAAUUUUAAAAUUUGCUGAUAACAGAAAAAUGGUGUUUUCAGUUUUUUGGAAAUAAUUUGGCAUUGUUACCAUAUGGGUGCUGUUCAUAGAAAUUACAAUUAAACCAUUACAGUAACGUUAUAAUUAUUAUAUUAAUAAAAUAAUAUUUUUAUUAUAUAAAUAUUAAAUUAAUAAAUAUUAUUAUAUUUAUUAUAUAAAUAAUUUAUAUUAAUAAAUAACAUUAUAAUAUAUUAAUAAAUAAUAUUAAUAAUAACUAUUAUUUUAUUUAUAUUAUUAAUAACAAACGGAGUCUAAAAAUUUUAAUCACUUUCUCUUAUUUUUUUGUUUUCACAUUUCUAAAACAAAAACAUUUUAUUCAAACAUAUUUUCAAAUUCAAUAAAUUAAAAAUAAAAUGAAAAUCAAACAAAACAAAAUUUUCAAAAACAUAAAAUAUUAUAAUAUAUAAUAAUACCAAACGACCCCUUAAUUAUCCCAAAUUAUUGUCGUUAGAAAGGAUAAAUGUUGAAAUUGCCUUUUUAUGUAAAGAGAAUUAAAGACUCCAAAUUAGGUUUUAUUUGUAUUUUAACUUGAAAAAUCAUGUCAUUUAACCACUUUUAUACGUAAAAAAAAAAAAAAACUCUUGAAAAAGUCAAGGUAUCAAAUGGGUAAUUUGUCCAUAACAACUACACUCAUAUAUAUAAACGAGUUUAAAAGGACAAGAAAAAUUAGAUAAAGACUGCAUUUUAAAUUAGAGAAAGACUGUGUGAAAGAGUUUAAAAGAAAAGAUAAAAAAUUAAAAAAAAAAUUACCUAACUCUUGCCUUUUUAUGCUGUUUAUAUUAGGCAAUAGAAACCAUUUCCAUGUUAACAUAAAAUAAAAGUUUUAAACAUUUUUUUCUUCUAAAAAAGGUCUAAAUUAAAUUAACAAUUCUUUAAAUAGUAAUAUAUAUGGUCUGAUAUCUUUCCAUAUUCUGAAAAUUUUGGUCAAUAUCAGCCCCAUAAUCACUGUAUCAGUCCCUUGAUUUUAGCAGGGAAAAUGCUAAUAAUUAAUAUCUUUCUAAUUUCAAUUACUACAUGCAAAAAUAUUUAUACACCUCCAAAACCUCCAAGGCUAACUCAUACACUCAAGCAUUUCCUAGCCAUUGCAUAAGAUUUUUGUUACUAAACCCUAGUAAAAAUGGCCAAAUUUUCUCUCACCCAUUUUGUCAUACUUGCCCUCCUUUUCACUGGUUUGUUUUCUUUAACCCUUUAACUCAUAUUUGAUAGCUUUUCAAAAACAUUUGUCAAUGUUGUUUUGUUUACCAUGAAAAACAAAUUACACUAACAUUUAAGUAAUUAAAUCAACAAUGGAUGCAUAUAUGGGCCGUAUUUAAAGAUUUGAGUUCAAAUCCUGAUGGGUUUUUUUUUUUUCUCUUACAUUGAAGGGUUUGAAAGUUAAUUUGUUUGUUUGAUUUUUAUUUUUGCAGUUGUUUCAGUGGUUGAUGCACAACAAAGAUGCCAAGAGGUGUUGGAUCCAAACAAUUGUGAACUUUCGAAUUGUAGACAGAAGUGUCUCGAAAAGCAUAAUUCAAAUUCAGGGCAAUGUCUCAUAAGUGGAGGCACUCCUCUUGAUCCAACUUUCAAGUGUGUGUGCAUUUAUGACUGUGGUUUUUAAUAUUAUUUCUCCUUUUAGUAUGAUGUAUUUCUAUGCAAGGAGACAAUUCAAUAAAAGUUGAUAAAGGUGAAUCAUUUUCAUUUUUAUGUUAUUUAUGACAGCUUAGAUAUAAAAAUCAAUCCAAAAACAUUUUUAAAAAAAGAGAUCAUUCAAAAAAAAUAUUUAGGUUUAAGUAAUUUUUUUAUAUAAAAUAAUUACAACCUAAAGAUAGAUAUUAGAAUUUUUUACUCAAAGUUAUCAGAAUUUGAAUAUCUAAACACUUUAUAAGUGAAAUGAAUGUUGGCCCUGUGUUGACCAACUUGAAUCUAUAGAUUAUGGAACAUGUUCAUCUCGAACGAACUCAAUCACCUACAUAUAUAUUUGGGUUCGUUAGUUCAAUCUAAAUACUAAUGAAAAGUAUAAUUCAUAAUAAUAUUCGAACUCGUCCGAUUUUGACUUGACCCAAUCUUAUAAGGUGCCUUUUUUUCUCCACUCAAAGCAGCUUGUAAGUAGGAUUUUUGUCCUCCUACCACCCCCUAUCCCCCGUUAAACCUCUCCCCAACUCCUUUUGCAACCGACCAUGAAGGUUUCUCUCCCGCCCUUGUCUGCUGUCCCACACUCUACUCUUCUCACGUUCCUCAUUCGUCAUAACUCUGUUCGAAAAUGUCGAUCUUGCAUUGAAUCUGGCCAUUUAACCCCAAUCUUGUAAUCCUUAAUCCACGAUCCAUUCAAAUUGUACAACUCCUUCUUUGCGUUUACAAGUUUCUCAAAACGUACAAACCCGUAUUUCCUGCCUCUUGCACUCAUUUUUGUGCAAUGAAGACAUCCAUUACCUUUCCAUACUCCCGAAACCUUUGUGACAGCCAUCUCCAAUGAGUUUAUGGAGGAAUAUUAUUUACAAAUAUUGCGAAAAUUGUUAUUUUUAAGAGCAAAACUAUUUCCUGUGGUUGCUGAGGUUGAAAGUGAUUUUAUCAAUUUUUGAUAAGAGAGUUUUGUUCUCUUAGUGAAGCAACUUUUGAUACAAGAAUUUUUGGUAAAAGGUGUUGGUCUUGUUCCUUGAGGAAGUUGUUUCGAGAAUAAUUAUUUCGUGAAAGUAUUAUUCCGUGAAAGAAUUGGUUCUUAAAUAAUUAUUCCUUUAAAUAGUUAUUUUUGUAAAAAAGUUGUUUCAUGAACAAUUAUUCCAUAAAAAUAACUUUCACUAAAAUAAUCUUAUCAACUGUUCUGACUUAUCCUCAAUUUUAAUAACUUUAAAGAAAUUUAAAAGAAAAAAGCAUUAAUAACCAAAUCAAGUAUCUAUAUUUUGCCACCUAUACGAGAUUCUUAGUAUAAGAAGUUCUCAUACUCUAGCAUAAUGAAAGAAUAAAAGUAAAAGGUAAAUGAAAAUAAAAUAUAUUUGUUCUUAUAAUUUAAGAUGUAUGAUCCAAAUUUCAUGAAAAGAAAAAAAAUUAUAUAUAUAUAUAUUGUGACUGUAAAUGUGAGGAUUCAUUACCCUUUUAUAUGAAAUUUGUUUGAUGUAAAUCAAAUAACGUUCCAUACAUAAAAUAAGUAAAUUUUAAUGUUGUAAAUCAAAGAGUUACUUGUUAGAUAGGUGAUUUAUGAAAGUGUAAGCUAUAACAUUAGUGUUUCUCUAAAAAAAAAAAUGAAAGUGUUUUCUAGAGAAAAUAAGAGAAUAAGUAGCUGGAGUGUUUCUCUUUAAAAAAAAAUAGAAGAAUAAGUAGUAAAAGUGUUUACCUAAAAAAAUAGGAGAACAAGUAAUGAGAGUAGUUCUCUAAAAAAUAUGAGGAAUUAAAAGAAAUAGAUGAUGGGAGUGUAAGAGAAUAAGUAAUGAGAAUGCUUCCCAAAAAACAUAAAAGAAUAAUUAAAUGAAACAAUUAAAGAGAAUAUUUCUAAAAAAAAAAAAAUCAAUGAAACAAUUAAUGAGACUAUUUCCUUUAAAAAAUAUGCAUGAGUUCAAUAAUUAACAAUAAAAUUGUCUUUCUCGUAAAAAAAAUAAAUAAAAGGAGUAAUGUAUAUAAUUUUUUUAAUUUCUAGAAACAAGAAAAAAAAAGUAAAUUAUGUAAUUUAAAUUUUUUAUUAGGAAUCACUUCUUUUUAUAUGAAAGUAGAGUUUGAAAGUUUGUAGUUCAUGCCACCUACAAAAUAAAAAGUUUUUACCAAUGAUGUAAUGUUCUUAAAAUAAUUGUUAAAAUUAGUAGAUUGAGGUUUUUCAACCCGUGAUGUGUCUUUGUAAAACCUAUAAUCGGGCCAAUUUUCUUUCAAAGAUUUAAUUGUGCCCUUCAAUAGUGUUUUGUGUUUACCUAAAUGAAGAACAUUAAUUGCAAUAGAGUAAAAUUUUGUAUAGGAUAUCAAGAAUAUUAAAAUCUUUUAAAAAUAAAAUUAAAAAUUUUGAGAUUUUAUUAGAGAUAUUUUAAAAAAUAAAUAAAUAUUCAUUAUUAAAGAAAUUGAUUCUCUUGACCCUAUAAAUAUAAGAAUUAUAUUAUGAGGAUUUUCAAGUCAAAGUUAAGUGAAAGUCCAAUUUUUUUUUCUUUUGUAUUUGAAAUGUUAGGAUAUUGAUCUUAAUUAUUGAAUUUAAGAAUUUAAUAUUACUAAUAGACAAAUAGAGAAGCUAGAAAAUCUUGCUUUGGAAAAUGAUAAACUUAGACAUGAUUAUUGUAAAAGUAAAAAUAGCAUAUGAAAUAUAACUUCUACUAAUGAAUAUAAGUUUCACAAAAGAAAUUUAUAAAUCUCCUUUGUUGUCCUAUUUAUCCUCUUGCCAUUGUUCAUGACAAAUUAGACAAUCUUGGGGGAGGAGUAGAUUUUUAUUUUUUUUAGAGAUGAAACAGGCUGGUUUUUUCUUUUUAAUUUUUUUUUAUAUAAAGGUUCACCAAAGGCAUUCUCUCUUUACUCUAUUCAUUUAUUCAUUUACUUUGUUUUUUCAUGUAGUAAAAAAAUUAACGUAAGCGUCAAAGCAUGCGUUAAAACAUCAAUGUUGAUUUAGUGCCCAUUUGGAUUCAACCGUAUUUUUAAUGCGGUAUGAUUGAAUUCAUCACAUUACCGGUUGAAUUUAAAUGUUAACUCUAAUAAGAUUCAUUUAGCAUAAAUUUUUCAUUGAAAUUAUUUUUAAUCACAGUUACAUUAAUUUUUUUAACGAACAAUAUGAGACAACGAAAUGGGUAAUUUAUCCAUAACAACUAAAUAUUUAAAAGGGGUAAAUCUUGGUUUUUCUCAUCGCAAUGAAACUAAAAAGUCAGAAAAAAACUAUGCCCUGGUUUUCUUUAUAAAUUUUUUUUUUCUUUUGUUAUACGGAGAAGACUACACAUGUAGUAUUUAAGUUUAGAUUUAUAAAUAAAAUUGCAUACUCAAAUCUGUUCAAUUUAUAUAUAUAUAUAUAUAUAUAUCUUAUAAAUUAAUUUAUUUCAAGUGUACUCUUUUAGCAUGUGUAUAUCAAAUUAAAUUUUGUAAACAUAUCCCAAUGAAAUCCAUCUUUCUUUGAGGUAGUGAUAAAGUUGGAAAUUAACUUGCAUCAUAAAACUAAUGAUGGUUUAAUUUAUGAAAAGCCAAAAAAAAAAAAAACCCUAAUAAAUAGUAAUCGAUGAAAGAGUAAAAGUUAAAGGAUGUUAUGACUUAUAAACUCAUAACUCACAGUGCACUUAUUGGCAGGCAAUUAAGUAUUGACAUAAUAUCAUGUUUUAUUUGGAGAGAUGAAAUGAAAGAGAGUGAGUGAGAAUAGAGGCCAAAGUAUUGACGUAAUAAUAUUAUAUAAAAUAUUCCAUGACAGCAGAUAUAUUAUAUAUAUAUGGGGCUAAAAAUUUAAGGAGAAUUAUUUAUGUUGCAUAAAUGCCCAAGAUUAAUAUAAGUUGUUAUUUAUUACUUUUGUUUAAAUUAUAUAAAUAAAAAUAUUACCAAAAAAUAUAUAUUUUAAAAAAUCUUUAGGGAUCUUUGGUUGAUACUCAAAGUUAAAAAAAAAAAUAUCAUGCCAUAUAUCACGAAAGAUGACUUCAUUUAACAACGAUUGUUAGAAAUUAACAAUAUCAUGACUUGGGAUACAUAUCAUGUAUAAAUUUUUUUAAUUUUUAUAUAUAUGUAAAUUAAGUAUAAUCUCAUUAAACUUAAUCUAAUUGCUUUUUUUAUUUUUUAUUAUAUAAAUUAAAUUUAAUAUGUGAAUUUGUGAUUUAUUUUUUUAAUUUGGGUUAUAUUUAAAAAAAAUUUGAGAUUUAAAAUUUCAGAUCGAAUCGAACCUAAACAAACAUAUAAACUAUUAAUAUUAACUAUGAGUUUAACCCAAAAUUUGUCUAAUUCAACUCAUGAACACCUCUAUCUUCGAGUACUAUUGAAAGUUUUAACUAAAGCAAACCAACUGUCAGCCUUAAUCCUCUUCUUAGAUCAUCUAAACAAGCCAUCCAAUUUUUCAAACAUUUUUGCAGCUUAUCAACUCAAGUUGAUUAAGCAAUAAAGCAUGAUAUAGCACAAACUCGUACGUCUUAAACUCAAUUCCUUAUCUCAAAUGCCUACAUUCAAAUGGUAUGUACGAUGCAUGAAUCUAGUAUAAUGAAUUUUAUUUUAUUUAAAAAUUUCUUGUAAUUCAAAAAAAAAAUGGAGUAACCAAUGAAGUAAUUACUAAUAAUAUAAAUUUUGCCCAUUAUAUUAUUUGUCUCGAUCCCAAAUUUUUGUGACGCGAAUUAAAUUUAUCUCCAUCGAUGUAAAUUAAGCACAAUAUGAAUUAUCUUGUGAAAUUAACAUGAGGUUUUAGUACAAAAGGUUGUGUUAUAUGACAAUUUUUUUUCAAUUUUCCAUAUUCUUGGAUGUAGUUAUCAUGCCUUACUUUUCAUGAUAGUUUCCUUUGUUUUAGAACCAAAUGAUACCUUUGACAAAUUAAAAUCCUCCCUUGUUAGGAAUUUUAAUACAGUAUCUUUCUCAAUUUGGAUAAAAAUUUUUGUUCAAUGUUUUUGGCAUAGCCUUUUCUAAGUUUCCCUUCUAUCGUCCUCUUCUAUGGAGAAAUUUGGUGCCAAACAAGUUCAUAUCGACACCAUCACCCACCUUUACGCCUCAAGCAAGGUGGAAUUGAUAUUAAUAUAAUAUUUAAGAGACCAAAUGGGUAAUUUAUCCAUAACAACUAAACUCGUAUAAUUGAGUUUAAAAGGAAAAGAAAAAGUUUUUGUAAUAGAAACAAUAAAUAUCAAUCUAAUAAGUUUCCAUCUUAACAUAAAAGUAAAAGAAGCUUGUCCCGGAUUAGUUAAGAAUGAUAACGAAAUGGAUAUUCAUUAUUUUUAAAAUAUUCGUAUCCGAAUUCGUUUAAUAUUUAUAAUAUUUAAAUUUGUUUAAAUAUUUGUUUAAUUUAAUAUUAUUAUUUAAAUUCGAAUCUAUUUAAAUAAAUACUAUUUGUUUAAAUAUUUGAAAUUUUAAAAUAUUUAUUUAUUUAAAAUUUUUAUCAAAAUAUAAAAUAAACAAAAAUAUAACUUAAAAUUCAAGUUCAGUCUUAAUUAAUAAUAAAUAAAAAUUAUUUUUUAAAGUAUAAAACUUUAUACAAAUAUAUAAUUUUAGAUAUUUUAGAUAUGUAAAUAAGUAAUGAAUUCAUAUCCGAAUUCGAAUAUUCAUUAUUAUUCAUUGAAACUUAAAUGGAUUCGAGUAUUGAAUAUCAAAAGAAUACUAUUUAUAUUCACUCUGAAUCUAUCACGAAUAAUAAAUAUCUUAUUCAAAUCUAUUAAUUAUCUAUUUAUAACUAUUCGAAUCCACUGUAAAUGGAUUGAAUAAUAAUUGAUAUUUAUUUAUUUACGAUUUAUUACCAUCCUUAGUAUUAACAUUUUUUUAUUUCAAAAAAAGACUCAAAUUAUCUUCAAAAACAUGUUCAAAUUAAAUUAACUAAAAUAUGUAAAUAAUAAUAUCUAUAGUCUGAUAUCUUUCCAUAUAUUGAAAACUUCGGUUAAUUCAGUUCUAACAACAUUUGUCGAUGUUGUUUUGUUUACUAUAAAAAACAAAUCACACUAACGUUUAAGUAAUUAACUCAACAAUGCUUAUAUGGACCGUAUUUACAGAUCCCGGUUCAAAUUCUGACAGUUUUUUUUUUUUUAACAUUGGGAGUUUGAAAGUUAAUUUGUUUGUUUGAUUUUUUUAUUCUUGCAGUUGUUUCAAUGGUUGAUGCACACAAAGAUGUCAACAGAUGUUGGAUCCAAACAAUUGUGAACUUUCGGAUUGUAGACAGAAGUGUUUCCACUAGCCUUAAUUUAUAUAAUAAAUUUUUUUUUUAAAUCCAACUCAAAUUAAAAAUAUAUAUCCUUAACCCACCCACUUACCUUAAUUUAUAUAAUAAAAAUUUUAAAAAAUAUGAUUAAAUUAAGUAUAAAUUAAAUUAAGUUGAAUUAUAUUUAAUUCACAUAUACAUAAAAAUUAAAAAUAAAUAUUAUAUAUGUAAAAAUUAAAAAUAAAAUUUUAAUUUAAUAAAAAAUAUAUAAUUUUUAAUUUUAAUUUUUUUAUAUAUACGAAUUAAUUUAUAUAUAAUUUACAUAUAUAUAAAUAAAAAUUUUAUAUAUACGUAAAUUCGAAUCUAAACAAAUCAAACUUAAAUUUUAAAUUUUUUGUUUAAGACCUAACUUGAAAUUUAAAUGAGUUUAAAAAUUAUGUCCAAAUCUAUUUAAUGAGCUUCAAUUUUUUAUCUCUCAAAACUUGAAUGGAUAUUUAGACUUAAAUAAAUAACUUAAUCCUUAAUUAAAUCUAUUAUAAAUAAAUGUUGGGAUUUUUUACUCGAGAUUAUCAAAAUUUAAAAUUUUAAACACACUAGGUCAAGCGAUUGUAGGCCCUAAUAUUGUUAGUCAAUUUAUUUACAUAAUAUGAAAGUCAAUAAGAUGUCGUAAAAAAGUCUAAUCAAUGUUACAUUAUUAAUUAUCAGUCAAUAUUAAAAGAAAUUUUAUAAAAAAAAAUCUAAAAAAUUUUCAAAAUUGUUUAAAAAAUCUGAAAUAUUAAAAAAAUUAAAAAAUAUAUAUAAUAUUUUUAAAAAUUAUAAAAAUAUCAAAACUUAAAAAAUUCAAAAAAAUCUCAAAUUUAAAAAAAAAAUUCAAAAAAAUUUAUGACAAAUUAAAAAAACUGAAAAUUUUAAUAAAAAUAAAAACACAAGACAAUGUUUCAAGAUACAAACAAAUCCCAACCCUAAACCAGAACAAGAAUUGCAAAGACAAUGGGAAUUUUAGCAAGAAAAAAAAAAUGCUGUAUAUAUGCUUAUAACUAGACUCGUAUAAUGAUAUAUUAAAAUGCGUUAAAAAAUGAUUUUGUUUAUGAUUGUUGAUCUAUGAUUCUGGCCUCAAGCAUGAGCUAUAAAAUAGUCAAGCAUGAACCAGAACAAGCAAUCCUUUUGGGCUAAAGACAAGAAAGAAAAGAUGCCAUGCACGAACCUUAAGCUUGCUAGAUGGGAUCACCAAAACAUCUUAGUCCAAGAACCUAAAAAUGGGAAAACAGCAAUCAACAAUCUCAACAGCAAAGGUGCAUCAUUGUUACUUUCUUUCAUACUCAACUUGCCCUCCUCCUUUGAUGUCCUUUUUGAGCCAUUUUCCAUUGUUGGCAUUUUCAUUGAUCCCUUUCCAUCUAGCUCAUCCCAUCCACCAAAGUUGGUUGCAGCAUUGCCACCCUCAUUGGGAGAACCAUCAUCACUAACUAUCCAUGAUUGAUAAUCCCUUCUUCCCUUUCUGCUUUUUUGGCCUUCUUGUACCUCUUCCUCCAUUUUAACAUUUUUUACAGUGCGCCGAGAUGUAUUUUUUGGUUUUUUUCUUACCCUGACCUUACGCUUCUGCUUGUUUUGUGACCUUCCCAAAAACCUUUCAAGUGCCAAAGUUAUUGCUGACUGCCCAAGUGGAAGUGCUAAUGCCAUGAGGAAAGCUUUUGGGCCAGUGGCAAACAAGAAGGAAAGUAAAAUGACUGGUAGCGUCCAACCAAAGGAUUUGAAAACCUGCAUUGACCAAUUGCAAAAGUAUUGGGAUCAACAGAAUGCAUUUUUUAUGGGAAAAAAAAAGAAAUUAACAUUUGAUAAAAUAACAUUGAGGGGAACAAACUGUAGGACAUGAUCCAAUCGAGAAAAUUCAAUUAUUUAGCAACAGUUCAUUUAAAACAACAUUCCUAUAUAGAGCAAAAUUCAGUACUAAGGCAUAAGGAGAUGCCUAUGGUUUGAAUGAUGGUUAUGAAAGAGGCAAAUGCCGAAUGGUACGUCCAAAGUGAAAAAUCCUGUGUUGUGGUCUGUGGAAGCUAACGCUAUUUCUCACCAUAAUCAGCAAAUAUGUGAUCUGCAAAGAGUUCAAACAGUUUGUUGAUGCCCAUGUAAACUCAACUAAAGCUGUCAUGCAGUUUUUCUGGUACUAAAACUAGUUAACUUGCAUGAGCUGCCAAUCAAACCCCUCAUUGCGAAGGACAAUAUAAAAGAUUUCCCAACAUUGUCAGCGGAAUAAUUGCCGGAUAUUAGGAGUCUUGAGAUGGGAUUCCUAUAUUCCUAUGGAGUGUCAGUCCCAUGCAAAAGAUUCUUAGUAUCACAUAAUUUACAGCUGCAUAUGUGAGCCUGCAACUAAGAUUUGAAGCAAGAGGCAAGUCCCUUAAAUUUUAAAAUUUGCAACAGAAGCAAAUCCUAUUAAACUACCCAAUAGAUCCAAGAAUAAAGUUGAUUUCAAAUCAAAGUUCUUCAUUUUACUACUUGUUCAAGAGGAAGCAAAUCCUAUUAAACUAACCGAAUAAAUCCAAGAAUUAAGUUGUUCAAAAGGACCCAUAGUUUUUGCAAAAUUAUUGAUGUAUGAAGCUAAUUCAUUUAUAAAAAGAAAUGCAUCAAAUUUAAUCCAUUUUAAUGCAUGAAAUUCAUUUACAUCAAUCCCAUUUGGUAUUCAAAAUUCUACCUUUAAGAAUGUAUCCAAAUUUUAAAAAAAAAAAAAAAGGGAAAGGAAAGAAAAGAUUGUACCUUCAAAAUCCAAAUGCUAUCAAUUGCUUCGUCCAAAAUCCCGGAAUUUGCCAUUUCUUCAUAAUAAUCAUCUCUUUCUUCGUCGUCGCCAUCGUUUUGGGUGUUGAAGCUGAAGCCUUUGGCACGAAUAUUCUCAGCAUUAGGGUCCCACUUGCUUCUUCUCCUUCUACUGCUGCUGCUGCUAUCUCUGGCUGCACAUGAGCUGAAACGACGGCGUAAAUGAGAGUAAGAGAGAGGGCAAAGUGGCAAAUGAAUGAAAUUAUGGAGGUGGGAUUUAUGGGUGAAGAAGAUGAAGGAAGAACAAGGGCAUGGUUGAGCUGCUGCCAUUUCCAUUUCCGCUUCUCUGCUCCCCAUAUUUCUCGAUCUCUACCACUUUGCCACGUUCUUAUUUUCUUGUCCAUUGAAAAACCGUUGAUGAUAAAAUAACCAAGAAUCUCACGACGUCGUUGCAGGAAUAGAAAGUUUUCCCGAUUAAAUUGGAAAACGCUGCGUUCCGUGAAAGGAUUUUGGUUUAAAAUUUUAAGCAUCUGAAGCGACACCGUUCAUAGAAAACAUUUCUCUAUAUAAGCUCAGCGUUAAAUUCACGCAAACUUAAAAAGAAAUCCCUAGAAGCUGAAGAGGAAGAUGAGGCCAACGCCGAUGGAAUUCAUGGUGGACCCAGAUGAUCAAGGCUCAGCCAUGGAAGUCGACGACGUUGACCCACUCGAGAUGUUCGGCGAAGGCGGCAUCUCCAUCGACAACAAGCUCGCCGACGCCGAUUUCUUCAACAACUUCGAAGACGAUUUCGAUGACUCCGACAUCAACUAAACGCCUCAACCCAAAGUUCUCAUCUUUUUCUCUCUUACCUUUCUAGGGUUUCAUCUUUUUUCUUAAGAAAAAUCCUAAUGCUUGUCCGAUUCAGUCGAAUUUGAACUGCUUUAUGGCUUAUCUCAUCUGCAAAUUAUAUUAUUGAAGUUUUUGAACGUUUAGCUUUGGUUAAUUAAGGAAUAAAAAGGUGUUUCCAUUCUGGAGUUGAAUUUAGUGUUGAAAUGAAGCGAGAAAUUGAAAGAAAAUUUCAACAGCCUCUGAAUCAGAGAAUUCGUUACAACAAAGGUGCAAAUCUAGUAACUAAAUUAUAUUCCCCAAAUCUGUUUAUGUCUAUAAACAUGCCAUCAAACUCAUAACAUUUCCAACCAUUUCCAUUUAAAAAUGUAGAUACAACACUGUCAUUCUUAUCGUCAUUCGAACUUGGUUCAGUUCAUGGUCAAUUGUUCCACCCUGUAAACAAGGAAACAAUAAAGGACAGGAUCGUGUUUGUGUUAUGGCCCAGGCUUAUGCUUCAAAGCCGUGGCUUCCCGAGCUCGAGGAUUGACUUUUCUGUGUUUGUUGUUAUGGUCGAGACAAUUCUAAGUCUGUGGCUUCUGGAUUCGUGGAUUGACUAUUGGUUGUAGUGUUUUGGUGUUAUGGGUAGGCUGAAAAGUUUUUUUUCUUAUUGCAGGCUUGCUUUAAAUAUGUUAAAGAGAAGCUACCAACAUUGCCAGCAAGCAAAUUCCACAUGUUUAAUGUCUAUUCACAGAAAAAUUAAUUGUUCAAAAGAUUCCAUGACAAAGAAAAAGAAGCUAAAGUAAUUCCACCAUGUUAAUGUCUGUCCACCGAAAAAUUAAUUGUUCAAAAGAUUCCAUGACAAAGAAAAAGAAGCUAAACAACUUACUAACCAAACCUUUAUUUUACGGGAAAAAAUGCUUCAAUUAUAGUGUACACCCUGAUCCAGGUGGCCAUACAACAGUUGCAUGAUAUAACAAAAGCACAAUGAGCCACAGAUAACUCAUACAAUCAAAGUCGACGACUCCUGAAAUCAAAUCUAGUUUCACACCUUAUACAACAACACCAUACUUCAUUGACAAUUCUAACAAGAAAUUAGGAAGGGCUCACUGUUUCUUAUAUAUUGUCUUGUACCAGAGCUCUGAUAAUCCUUCGAUGUAAAUUUCUUUCCUUGGCCGACGGUUCUCACACCAUGGAAAAUCAUCAUUCAGAAAUUAGCAUUUAAUAGAAGUAGACAGCAUGCGAAGGAAACUAGCAUUUAAGAAUUGGCAACCGGGAUAAUCUUUCGAUUUCCUUGAUAAUUAGUUCCUUUUCCUCUUCAAAUGGCCCAUCUUCGGCACAUGCGAUGACAAUUAUUUCUUAAAAGACAAGCACAAGGACAACUAAGAAAAAGGUUUCAAAUGGAAAAAACCCAACUAUAUAUCUGGUGCCAAUUUUUCAGAAAAUGUAUGGCCAAAAGAUUUAAGUACCUUUUCCUGAGAGAUUUUGAAGCAAAUCCAGCAAUUUUUCAUGGUUUUUUGCCAGAAUAAUCUUUACUUCUCUUGGCUUGUUAGGAUUAGCAACAAAAACCUUCAUGUGAAUAGCAAAGGAAGGAAAACAAUAGAUUAGAACAAUUCUUGCAAUAUCUGAAGUAAGCUUUCUUUCCCUGUUAUCUAGGUGAUAUCAUUUAAGUAAUUUGCAUCCAACAGUCCCAAGUAAUUUUUUUAAGUAAUUUGCAUCCAACAGUCCCAAGUAAUUUUUUAAGACAGAGAGAGCGAACUGGCUUUGGAAAUGCAGCAGAAGAAAUACUCCAAUGUAUAAUGUUCCCCAGGCUAAAUUUCAGUCUCGAUGGGUGAUCUUGAACAUUAAUAUAUGAAGAUCUUUUGGACAGGACGUCUCAUGACAUUUUAGUAUGACAUAUUUUAGGGUUCAUUGAAGCAGGAGAAAGAGAUAGAGACAUUGGGAACUUUCAUAGGCGAGCUUCCAACUCAUGACUACCAUCAGUCAUCAUUUCUUGUCUAAUUAUUAACUUAGAACAUUGCCCUGAGGCUUUUUUACAAAGAUGUAUUCUUAAAACCCAUGACAGAACAUGUGCUUGCCUGUGGACUGUGGAUAGGCCUGUGCUGGGACUAGCAAAAACGAUGUGUUUAUUUGUGAGUGAGAGAGAAGGAGAGGGAAAAACCACCUUGAAAAUGUGGAAAGCAGAAAUCUGGAUGUCUUUACUUGAAUCCUGCUUUGACACAAAAAGAGCAGAAAAUAAAAAGUCAAAUCAUAUAACAGACAAUUUCAAACAAGUUCUUCUCGAUAGCUACAGGUUAAGAUAUUUAAUGUACCAAGGAAGCAGACUGGGAUAAUCUUAUUAGACAUAAAAGUAAAAACAGAGAGCUCAUAUGAUUUCACUUGGUCCAAUCUAUUCCAAGUUGAAUACCCAAAAGUAUAUCAAUAAGUUGAAGCAGUUUCCAUAAAACAAAAAUGCCAUUCUGCACUCGUGGCUUUCACUCUUGCAUCACUCAUUUUCCAUGUCUCUUCAGGCCCAAUAAUGGACGGUCGAAGAUGCAAGAGUGUAUGAUGGUUGAGUGUAAAUCAGAACUCAUUUCAAUAAGACAUCCGGACUGCCAAUGGAGAUUCAAUCCAAUUAACGCCAAAAGAAACAUAAAGGAGAAAAAAGUACAGUUAAUAAGAAGUACCUCCAGCAAUGUCAUCAUAACUUUCAAAUACCGAACUUCUGAAAUAUAGCACUUCAUUAUAUGGGAAUUUGGAGUCUCCAAAAGAAAUUGUGACAGAAGCUAAACCAAAAACAUUGCAGCAUUAACACAUCUUACCAAUCAACAUAUCUACAGAUCCAAACAGGAUGGAAAAGAGAGAAAGUGCCAAAACCAACCUUUAAAGAUUGCCAUCUUGUCACGUAAUUAGAAGACGUCAAGAGUUUUUCAUAUAGAUCAAAGAACCGGAACAACAUUAUCUCAUUAGAUAAGCUAAAAGAGAGAAAAUGGAAAAUGGAUAUCUCAACAAACUUAUGAAGAAAGAUAUUUUCAGAGCUCUGCACCAUGCAGAUUCAUCAGGGGUAGUUGCACUUGAUGUCCCUUACCAAAAGGGUACACACAAUAUAAAACAUUCUUGAAGAAAGUUUUUAGUUCAGCAGGUCUUCUAGAUUGAAGCAUUCAAUCAACAUAAAGCCCUAAAGCAAAAUUGUUCUCAGCCUAGAUCAUUUCAGUCACGUAAGAAGAGAUUAAACAGUAUGUAAAUGUACCUCAUCGUAAUGAGCAGUCAUUAUUCAGAUAACAGUUCCAUGUUUUGUAAGCAGAUCCUGAGGAAAUUCAAUCAAAGACGCAUAAGAGGAAGAAAGCAUGGACCCUGAAAAUGCAUGUACUUAAUCUAAAGUACCAGUAAGACUUAAAAACUAAUACAUCUAACCUUAAAUGUUGAAAAUGCAUCAGAAGCAAUGUCAAAGUUGGGCAACUCCACAAAUUUGAAGAAUAAUACAAAGCUAGCAGACUUUAAUAUGUAUCUGAAAAAUCACUACAAAAUUUAACUAGUGAAAAAGUGAAACUUGAUUUUCAAUAAAGAAAUUUUGCACCAAACAUUAAAUUUAAAACAAAGAAAGUGCCCUAGCAGCCAAUUUUUCCUCCUUUGAUUUACUUGGACUAGUUCAUAGACACCAACUGGUUAUAGCUUUUGACAUCUAAUAAAAGCAGCAAUUGGCACUUCUAAAAUAGGUAAUGAUCAUUACCAAUCUCUAAACUUCACCAGUUCCUGAAUUACCCAGCAUCCAAGUUUUACUCAAAACCUUCAUAAUAUGUUUUACACUUGAUCUUUUAAAGCGGGCCAGAAUAUUAAAAAGAAGUUUAUCCUCACAAACCUAAUUUUGUAGUAAACAACAUCACAAGAUAUUGAAGUGGUGAUUAAUCAGUCUACUAAAAACCGGAAUUGUAUCUGAAUGCUGAGCUGAAAGCAACAUAUUUCAUGCUGCAGCAUGUUCUGCUUAUUCACCACCUCACCUCAUGAAAGCCUAGUGUAUAAACCUUAUUAGACGCUAACACGUAAAACCAUAUUUGGAAAAGAGCAUACAAAUGAGGAUGAUGAUUCCAAUCAAGGUUACACGCAAAGCUUGCCACAAAUUAGAUGAUAUAGAAUAUAAUAAAAAAUUUAGAGAACUUAUGUACUGAAAGAAUUAUAUUUCCUCUUCUGAAAUCUUAUACAAUCAUCAUUGAGGAAGAAGCAAUGACAAUGUUUUCAACCAUAGCAUCACUUUAGCAACAUCAUUAAGUACUUCAGUCAUAUGAACGAAAUGGACAUAAAGCUCGAAUGUCUUACUGUGCAAGUGUUGGAAAUUUGACGCACUCCCUCAACAUAUUUCCACAAUUUAAAGCAAUUUCCUUGUUAUAAUAGCUGCUUGCAAAAAAUAGAAAUUACACACCUAACCUUAGUGAUUCAAUAGCACACAUGACUUUGUCCAUGUUAUUUCAGUAUGCAUACAGGUCAAUGCCAUCCUAUAGAAAUAAACAACACACUCUGAACACAACAAAUAGGAAGGAGAGAGAAAGAGUCACAUUAAACCAGCUUUAUGCAUAUUCGAUAAGCAUGUAAUAGACAACAAAUUAUAGAGAUUUCUAGUUGAAAAGAAAGGGGCAUGGACAUAGAUAAAUGUGAAAAUGACAUUCAUAACAUUACCAAACCACAAGAAAGUCAAAUAACUCCAAAUGCUUCUCAAUGUACUCCACACAGCAACAGGUGGAAUCAACUUUUUGCCUCAACAAUAUGGACCAAAGGUGUAAUAAAUCUUUUCUUGCCUGUAAAAACAUGAAAUAAAUAGGCAAGCUUAUUAAUUAACCAGAUAUGACCAAAAUAGUAAAAAUAUCAAGAACUUGCUUCCCAUCCCAGUAUGGGCAACUUGUGACUAAUGAGAGAAAUAACAUUCUCUUUAGAAAUUUCAAGUGCCAACUGUAAGACUUGAUGCACAUUUGGUUCAACCUCCCCAUCUCCAGAAAGCAUGCAUCUCCUUGUCACAAAAUUCUUUUCAACUUCUUCCAUAGCCCAAGGCAAUAUAGAAACAUAACUAUCAAUAUCCAAAUUCUUAAACAUAUGAGUAAUUUACAAAGUAACUGAAUGACUCUGCAGUCCAUUUUCGAUCUCAUUUCUGAACAUAAACCCUGAUAGAAACUAAACCCCAACAUUUAGCUUGUGGCUAAAACAAAAAUCAUCCAUCCUUGGACCAAACCUAUUAUUUUAUCUACAAUGCCAUUGAAAGUAGGCUAAAAUGGUGUUGAUCCCAUGAGACAAUAUUAGCAGACAUAGACAUCAAGCAAGCGUUGCCCUUUUUGUCCCAUUGGGUUAGAACUUGAGCAUUCCACUUGCAGGUUUCAGGUUCAAAUCUUUAAGACUUUAUUAGAUGGGAGAGCUACCUCCAUUUCUCUAGCCUAAUGGACAAUGGAUUUUCUAUGUACAAAAUAAUAAAGCAUCAGCCAUUUUGUUCAUAUUACAACAAAUGACAUUGGAAGACACUUCAUUGUUGACAUCCUAAUAACAACCAGUAGCAUUUCAUGCAGGAAAGCAAAAAGCUCCAAAGAUUUUGGGAAGAAGAGCAAAGUAAUGGCAUAACACGUAAAAUAUUUAAAACAACUAGCAAAACCAAUGCCAAAACCAUUACCAAAUGAAAUAAUUCUUAAAACCCAUUUCAUAAUUUCAAUAUCACAACAAACUUGAGACUCAACCAUAUAGCCCAAAUCCCAAAAAAAAUUGAAGAAUACAAGAAAUUAUACUAAAAUUAAGCAUAACCACCCCCCCCCCCAAAAAAAAAAAAAAAACCUUUUCAAGGGCUUUAACUUCAGCAACGGUUUUGGCGUCGAGAGCCAUGAGGCUGUCCUUGAUCGCCCUGGCUACCUCUUGCGGGGUUUUGGGCCUUGACGGGUCGAAGAAUAAGAAGGACAUGAUCGAUCAAAUGUCGAAAUGAUGUGAUAUGAUACGACCCAAAAUUCAAUUCUCUCAAUUUCACUUCGAUGAAUGAUUUGCAGAUUGAGAAAAUGUAAUUGAUCUGUUGAUCAUAUAGACUUUUCACAUUUUCGUUUCACUUCAAAUCACAACAUUUUGAAAAAAAUAGAAAUUGCUCACAAAGUUUAAACUUCAAAGGGAAACUUUUUUUUUUUUUCAGUAGGGAAUGUGGGUUUUUUUUUAAAUUUUUUUAAAUUAAUAUAAAUAGCAAUAUUACUCCGGAUUAAUAUAUAAUUUAACUAUGAAUUAUAUCACUUUUUACUUUGAUAUUUAUUAAAAUUUUAUAAUUUAAUAUUUUAUUUCUAUUUUUAUAGGUUAUUUUAUAUUAUCAACUAAUAUUAUUAAGUAAAAUGAUGAUAUAAUAUAUAUUAUCAAUGAAAUCGAUUAUCUCUUGAAUCAAUGAAUAUAUUAUUAAAAUUUAUAUUUUAAAAUUAUAAAUUUGAGAGAAUUUAUACAUAUAAUAUUUUUUUCAAUCACUUUAAGUAAUAAGGUUAUUGGACUUUAAGUAAGAGUAAAAUUUCAAACAAACAAAAAAAAAGACAUUAAUCAAUGAAAUUAUAUCAUGUAUCAUAAUUUUAUUUUUUAAAUUUUUUUGUUAUAAUAAAUAAAAGUUAGAUAUUAAGUUAUAAAUUUUUUAUAAAUGCAAAUCAUAAAAAAUAUUUAAUGCAAAUAUCAAAUUAAAAGUAAGUCUUCUUAUUACAAUAGUAAAUUUUCAAUGAAAAUUUAUAUUUCAUAUAUUUCACCAAAUCGUUUUACCUUCUAAUUUGUUAAUAUAUAAUUAUAUAAUAAUUAAUUUAUACAAAUUAUAAUUGAUAAAAUAUCAUCAAUGGCACGGUAUGCUAAAAAAAAAAAAACUUAAAAUCUUAAUUUAUAUUAAAAAAUUUAUUUGAAGAUAAUAUCAUUUAUAUUAGCUAAUAAUAAUUAUUGAAUUUUUUAUUAAAUGAUGAUUAUAUAAAAUGAAUUUAAAAGUUUGGGAUUCAAAAUUUUACAAUUUUAAAUGUAAUAACUUCUUAUGUUGGUAGCCAAAUUAAAUUUCCUAUAAAAAUAUGUUAUCAACUUAUGUUCUACCAUUAAAAAUAAAGAAAAAAAAAAUUCUUAUAUGUUCUAAUUUUCCUUUAAACAACUUCAUCAAAAAAAAAAAAAAAAAAAACGAGGUAUUAUUGGAAAUAAAAUAAAAACAAAAGCGUUUCCUUAGUUAUCGCUUAAAGAUAUAAUUUAAUUAAAUUGAGUCGAAUUAUUUAAAAAUAUGAUUAAAUUAAGUCGAAUUGAUAUAAUAAAUAUUUUAAUUUAAAUUUGACUUUAAAAUUUAUUAUUUUAAAUUUGAUUCAAAUUCGAUUAAAUUUUAAUUUUUAAAUUUAAAUUUGACUCAAAAUAAAAAUUAAAUUGAUCAAAUUUACUCGAUUAAAUAUAUUUAAUAAAAAAUGAGUUUGAUUCUUUAAUUGAUUUUAAGUUUUAUAAUAUAUUUAAACUGGAGUUUAAAUUUAAAUUGAUAUAUAUAAAAAUAAAAUAAUAAUUUUUUAAGUAAAAUAAAUUUGAUUAAAUUUGUUAGUUAUUCAAUUAGAUAUUAAAAUAUUUAAAUUUAAUUCUUUUAAAAAAAUCAUUUUACUUCAAUUCGAUUAAAUAAUAAUUAAAUCAAAUUUAAUUUUUAUUUAAAUUAAACUUAAAUAUCUUUAAAAUAUUAAUAUCCUAUUUACACGUUAUAAUUACCAAUACCACCGACUCCUUCGCUUGCCUAAAUUAUUUACAUCAUAGAAAACUAUUUCCGUCAAAAUAUUUACAAUAAUUUUCAAUUUUCCUUUUCUUGAUCUUGGAGAAGAAAAAAAAAAGACUAUAAAAUUUUCCAGUACGGAUAACUCUAUGUAGUCCCCGAUGCGUGGCCAUGAUUGGAUCAACACAUGUCUUCCGGACGAGCUGAUCUUGGAGAUCUUACGACGGGUGGAUUCCAAAGCCAGCCACGAUGCCUGCUCCCUCGUCUGCAGACGGUGGCUCCGUCUCGAACGGCUUGGUCGCACCACCCUCCGAAUCGGCGCCUCUGGAAGUCCCGACCACUUCGUCAAGCUCCUCGCUCAACGGUUCAUCAAUGUCAAAGCCGUUCAUAUUGACGAGAGAUUAUCCAUUUAUUUACCUGUCAACGUGGUAAUCAAAUCUAAAAUUCGUCAAUUUACGAUAAAUUUCAGUUUUUUUUUUUUGCGUAGUUUUUAAAUAAGUUUGGCAUUUCAUGCACCCUGAAUUCUGAAAAUGAUAAUUAUUACAAUAGUUAAAUACUUUGAUUAUCGCUUUUGUUAUUUACUUAGCAAAUUGUAAAACAAAUUACUAAAAUAUAAUAGGGAUUGUAGUAUAAUUAAUCAAUACAUGUAAAAGGAAUAUCAUUUAUUUUUGUUAGACCCAAGGAUUCGGCUAUUCGUGUGCUGUAAAAUACUAAAAUUUGUGUAUUCAUAUUAUGUUUUACACUAAAAUUAUGUGUCAUAAUUCAUCAUUAAAAUAUGAAAUACUUUUUUUAUUUUGUUUAAGCCGAGUAUAGUUAUUGUUAAAAUCUUAAACCUGUGUUAUCUUCGUGUUUAUUUUUCCUAUUGUAUUCAUGUUGUGUCACUGUGUAUGUUUUAGAUUACCAAGUCUAAUUUUUGUUAUAAAAGAAAAUACAUUUUUAAUAUUUAAAAUUUCAAAAAUAUUGCUUUUUCCAUGGGGAAGCAAUAAGGAAGUAGUAAAAUCAACGACCCAAUGAUAGACAUGUUAAUGAGGUAGUUUAAGUUGUUGGUGCAGGGGAAAAAGCAUGGCAGAGAUGGGAAUUCAUUGACAUCUCUCAAGGUACACUACGCGGCUGAAAAAAUUGGGUACGAAGAAGAGGAGUGCGAAUCAUUCUGUCUGACAGAUGCUGGUUUGACUGCUGUCGCUGAUGGCUUUUCUAAACUAGAAAAGUUGAGCUUAAUCUGGUGUUAUAAUGUUACAAGUUUGGGUAUAGUGUCCCUUGCACAGAAAUGCUCUUUCUUGAAAUCCUUGGAUUUGCAGGUAAUUCAUCAUAUUUGAGUGGAGACUGGUGAUAUUUUACUCUAUCACGUUUGCUCAAUUGGGUUGUUUAUGGAUUAUUUUUUCAACAAUUUCGACUAUAUACCACUCUACUUGUCAUGUUCAUUAAGCAAUGCACUACUUGCAGUUUAGUUGCCUAUGAUGUUUUUCUGUAGGGUUGCUAUGUUGGAGAUCAAGGUCUAGUUGUUGUUGGCAAGUGUUGCAAGCAACUUGAGGACCUAAAUUUGCGUUUCUGUGAAAGCUUGACUGAUGCAGGAUUGGUUGAUUUGGCCACUGGUUGUGGGAAAUCAUUGAAAUCUCUUGGUGUUGCUGCUUGUGCGGGAAUAACUGAUAAAUCACUGGAAGCUGUGGGGUCUCAUUGCAAAUCUCUGGAUACCUUGUCACUGGAUUCCGAGUUUAUCUGCAAUAAAGGGAUCCUUGCUAUUGCCCGAGGCUGUUCUCUUUUGAAAGUCUUGAAGUUGCAAUGUAUUAGUGUUACAGAUGAGGCUUUGAUGGCAGUGGGAAUUUCUUGUUUGUCAUUGGAAAUAUUGGCCUUGUACAGUUUCCAGCAAUUUACAGACAAGUUAGUUACUAUUCCUUAGAAAGAUCACCAUAAGUGAAUUGUAUGCCUAAGGCUAUUUGACCAUUUUGUUCCCCCCCUCUAAUUCUGUCUUUUGGAAUAUAAGUGGACCCCAAAGUUUUGUUGUCUAAUUCUAAGGUCUAUUUAUUAUGUUUUAUGAUACAUGGUAUGACUGCUGAAGUAUACAUCUGAUUUAUGUCUCAGUGGUUUUCGUGCUAUUGGAAAAGGGUGCAAGAAGCUAAAAAAUCUUACUUUGAGUGAUUGCUAUUUCCUGAGUGACAAGGGUCUGAAGGCAAUCGCCACUGGCUGCACUGAAAUUACACAUCUUGAAGUUAAUGGCUGCCACAACAUUGGAACCAUUGGACUGGAGUCUGUUGGGAAAUCAUGCCCGUAUGUUCUGUUAUUUUCCCUUACCACUCUUUUAAAGGGACAGGAGGCCCUGACUUUAGCAGGAGCUAGGGAUCAUAUGCAGUUCCUAUUGUUGGGCAUUCUUUGGUUUUCCACAUGUAGUUAAUUAAAAUUACCACGUAAAAUUUUAUUGCAAAUUUUUAACUGUGUCGAUUCUGAAGCUUGUGACUUGGUGUAGGCGCCUCACUGAGUUGGCUUUAUUAUACUGCCAGAGGAUUGGUAAUUUUGCUCUUCAUGAAGUUGGAAGGGGCUGUAAAUACUUGCAAGCCCUUCACUUGGUAGAUUGCUCUAGCAUUGGAGAUGAAGCGAUUUGCAGUAUAGCAAAAGGUUGCAGAAAUCUGAGGAAACUUCAUAUUUGGAGAUGUUAUGAGGUCUCUUUCUCUCUCUCUCUGUGUGAUGGAAUUUUUCCUCCAACUACAAUAUUCUUGAACCACUACUACUGACUUGCUUGGGUGCUAUCCUGUUCUACAUUAGGAAAAUGGUUUUGCCUAUUGCCUGGAAAGGGAAACUGUCUAUUUAACGAGAUUUCUCCUCCUCCUCCCUCUCUCACUGAUGUCUUAUGUAGGAUGUUUUUCUUUUCUGUGUAAGAUGGCAGUUAGAUGGUUAUUAUUUUAAGAAUGGAGUUUUGAACCAAAAUAUUUUCAGAAAUGAUUGAAGUAAGAAAUUUAUUGAUAGUUUUUAAUGCUUCAUCUUUUUAGUCUCCAUCUUAUGUAGACUUGCUCGUAUCUUUUCGAUGCUGGCAGUCAUUUGUUUUCAGUUUCAGCAAUUAUAAAUUGUGAUAUAAAUCAUAACUUGUAUGUCUUCCAUUGUCGAUAGGUUGGAAACAAGGGAAUCAUAGCUGUUGGUGAGCAUUGUCACUCUCUCACUGAUCUUAGUCUCCGAUUUUGUGAUAGGUGCAUCUCAUUGCAGUUUCCUUCUGGCUUAGUUUGUGUGAUAAUGCUAUUUCUUCAUGCUGUUUCAUGUUUUCAGCUGUUCUUGAUUUUUGUUUUGUCUGAAAUAUGGUUCCCUUAAUUGGCAUUUUAUCUAACUUUAGCCUUUUUCUAUUAGGGUGCAGGAUGAGGCUCUUAUUGCCUUAGGUCAGGGAUGCCCCUUAGAACAUCUAAAUGUCAGUGGCUGCAACCAAAUUCGGGAUGCUGGAAUUGUAGCCAUUGCAAGAGGAUGCCCUCAACUCACUUACCUAGAUGUCAGUGUUCUCCAGGUGUGUCCCUCUCCCACUCCGCCCCUUUGCUUCUGUUCUACUUUCUUUGUACGCUCUGGUCAUUAUGCUUACUUCUUCUGAUGCUGUACUCUGAUAAAAAUAUUUUGUUUUCGGAAUCUCAAGUGAACUUCAAUCUGACUGUUAUUUUAUUUUGCUUGCAAUUCCUUUUCAAUACUUGCUUAUCAAUUCCUUCAUGGAAGAAUUUGGGGGAUAUGGCACUGGCCGAGUUAGGAGAAGGUUGUCCCUUACUCAAGGAUAUAGUGCUCUCACAUUGCCGCCGAAUAACAGACAUAGGUCUUUCCCACCUCGUUAAAAAUUGCCGAAUGCUCGAGUCUUGCCACAUGGUUUACUGCCCUAGCAUAACCGCCAACGGAGUUGCCACCUUGGUUUCUAGUUGCCCCAACAUAAAGAAGGUUCUGGUUGAGAAAUGGAAGGUUAGCCCUAGAACCAAAAGAAAAGCCGGCUCAGUCAUCUCCUAUCUCUGUGUGGACCUGUAGUUAGGACAUCAAGUUGUGCAUAUCAAAGCUUGUCACAUUGACACGAUGCCUUGCCUGCUUAUUUAAUGGUUUUUCUUUUUGCCCUUUCCAGAGUCACUUUCCAUUUAUUAUCAAGGUUCUUGUUAUAUGCAUUUUCUUUAAUAAGAUUUUAUAUUUUUAGUGAUAAAAUCUUUGGUUAGGAAGUUUUUUCUACAUUUUUGUUCAAAAUAUUUGUCAAAAGUCUUAACGAAUAAAAGCUGCAGCUAUGACAUAUUAAAUCUUUUUUCUGUAAGAUGAGAGAAUAUUAUUAUUUAUUUUUUAAAUUUACCACGUAUUAAUUCCAUUCCCAUGUGCCAUUCUUGACAAAUUGUAAGAGAUAUUAAUCCCAAGGAAAAAAAAAUUACUUAUGAAUUGACUCGAAUAUAUAUAUAAAAAAAUCUGUUUAUUUAUAUUUUUAUUGAAAAUAAUAAUAAAAACUAAAAAAUAAAAGAUAAAUAACAAAACAAUCAAUCAAAUUAAAUUUAAUAAUUCUGUGCAAUCUUUACUUCUUUAAUUUCCUUCUCUGUUUGGGAUUUUAAUUUGGCCCCAAAAAAUCGGAUUUUAAUAAGAAAAAAAUAUGCCAUGUGUUUAUUUUAUUGGUUUAAUUAAAUUAUUCAAAAUUAAAUUAAUUAAAUUAUUUUAUUUUAUUUUUAUUAAUCAAAUUAAAUUUAUUAAUUUUAAAAAUUAAUUGAUUAAAUUAAAUUCAACCGAUUCGAUUAUUUUUUUAAUUAAUUGAGUAAUAAAUAUAUUUAAAUUAAAUUAAAUUUUUAAUUUUUAUAUUUUAAAUAAAUUUAAUUAAAUAUUAAAAUAUUAUAUUAAAAACUCUAAAAAAAUAAAAUAUUUUUUAUAUUUUUUUGUUUAUAUUUAAAUUUUGUUAUAUUUUUAUUAAUCUACUUAUCAAACUAAAUUAAUUAAAAAUUAAAAAAAUUUUAAAAUUAUUUUUAUUAAUUAAUUAAAACUAAUUCAACAACUGAUUAAUUAAUCAAAAUAAUUCGUUUCGAACAAUUAAUUCAAUUAAAAUCGAUUUAUGAUUGUCCUUACAAAUGCAAAUCCAGACAGUCACCAGAUUCCAAAAAAGAACCCGUCUUCCUACUUUACUCGGCACCUUCGUUUUUUCCCAUUGUCAAUCUUUCUCUCUUUCUCUUCAAGCAAAAACGAAAAGUGAAAUCCAAUCCAUGCCUAACGAUUGCAGUAUCAGAGCUCUGUGGAUCCUCAACAAUCUCGACGCCGUCGUUUUCUCCAGGUUUUAUCCAUCAGCGGAACUCGCUUUCCAUUUCAAAAUCUCUCAUUUACAUGAAUAUUUUAGGGAUUUGUUCUCUUUUUUUUUUUUACUUUUUUUAAAAAGAUUUGGAAAUAGAACUCGAUAUUACUUAAGAGGCAUGCUUAAGCUCCAAAUAAUUUUAAAAAAUGGAAAAUUUUGAUUUAGUUUGUUUAAACAUUCAGGAGGUUUCCGGUGGUGGAGAAGCGGUGGCUAGCUGCUUGCCAAACUGAAAGCCAUAGCUCGGAUGACGAUCCUGUCAAGUACACUGUAUUUUCUUCGCUUCCCUCGGAUUCAGAGUUAGCUGCCGCUUUCUCUGAGAGAAGGAGAAGGUUAGAUAAUCUUCCAGUAGCUCUUUAAAAAUCUUUUUCAUUACUGACAUGAACAUUCGCUUUUAUUACUUUUUUUAAGCUUGAAUCGCAUGUUAUUAUUAUGGCCUAGGUAAUUAUGCUGUGAAAUUAAAUAGUUGCUUAAUCCAACGAAAGCCUUAUUAUUAAUGCUCCAUUUGUUUGUUAUUUUACCAACUUAUCUUUUGCCUCCGAAAGCAAAAACUAAAACAAUGCAUUUGGGUUAAAAAACAAAGAAUAUUAUAAAUGUAACACACAAACAUAGCUGUUUGAUAUAAUCCUGCUUUAAUGGUGUUAAUUGCUUUUCAAUUUUUAACUUUGAUUCUGAUAUAUGUGUUUUGUUAAUUUUUACUUGUUUGCUGUGUUUUACAGGGAGGGGUCUGUCCGGGGAUUUGGUAUACGGGUAAUACAGUCAAGAGAAGGAUCAGAUUCAUGGGUUGAUGAUCCGAUUACGCGUCAUAUUAUAGGCCUUUACAUAAACAAAGAGGAGGAAGGAGAGAAUAAUCUAUUGUGGCCUUUAGCGUUGCACAUAAAGGGUCCGUAUUGCAUCCUUAUACUGCCUUUACUUGAGCCCAGAUAUGUAAAGGCUUACGCAAGGUUGUGUAAGAGAUCUGAUUGUGGAAAUGCUGUCAUGGCAGAUGAAUAUUUAUCUUCUGUACUCCUUGAUCUUCCAUCCAUCACAGGGUAUGGUAAGUUACAUGCUGUAUUAUUCAUUUAAGGUACUGCCAGCAGAUUGUUUCCACAUUAAAAAAAAAAAAUCUAUAACUCUUUCUUUUUCUUCCUUUUCCUCUGUUUGUUCAGCUUCCUCUAUUUUAAGCUGGCUUUUCAUAGUCAUUUUCUAUAAGUUAUUGUUUUGUAUAACUCUGUGUAUCUUUAAUUUAGAAAUAGCUAUGAAUGAAUGUGAAAUUAUUGUGUCCUCGAUGUUAUGAGUACCUUCCGUGACAUGCCUUACAUGGAACAGAAAGCUAUCAGAAUUUACUACCGUGAUUUGUUAUGUUGUAAUUGUCAGUAAAGCUGGUGCUCAGUCAGCUUGUUUUGUGCAUUGAGUUUGUCAUACAACUGUUUCACACAUUAACUGAAUACAUACAUAUAUAUAUAUAUAUAUAUAUAUAUAUUAAUUCAGUUUUUUCAAAAGGUUCAUUAUCUUUCAGUUCAUUACACAAUUUUGCAUCCUUUAUGUUACUAGGAAAAAGGGAGGUGGCCUAUUGUUUUAGUUCUUUCUUUUCUUAUGCUGCAGGGCAUUCAUGGUGGCUCAUGCCAUCGGUGACAUAGUUACUGGGGAUGUAGUAGAGCCUGAGGUGGUUGUAAGUUCAUCACCAUCAGUGGGUGGGUUGUUAGACUCACUCACUGGAAGUAUUGGGAUAUCAGGAAUCUCUUCAAGGGCCAAGCCAGUAGCUGCACCUGUUGCAUCUUCUACACCAUCUGGCACUGCUGUGAUAGGAGCUCUUGCAUCUGAUGUUCCAAAAAUUGGUUCAAGGCUUUUGGAUAAAGAUGCACUUAGAAGUUUCAUAAGUAGCGCAAUGCCUUUUGGUUGGUAUUUUUUUGUUAUGGUAUUUCUCAUCACAGAUGUCCUUUUAUAUUUUUUUUAUUGUGGAUUAUCAUUAGUUUGCCUAACACUAUUUAAUGAUGAGUAUUUAUCUUUUAUACAGGAACUCCCUUGGACCUCAGCUAUUCCAACAUUUUCUCUAUCAAGGUAAAUGGCUUUUCUGCGUUAGAUAUGCCUCCACAAGACCUCAAGCAACCGGUAUGGAAGCCCUAUCUAUACAAAGGAAAGCAGAGAUUGCUAUUCACCAUUCAUGAAACUCUUCAUGCUGCCAUGUAUGAUCGAGAUGAGACUCCAGAUAGUUUAUCAGUCUCUGGGCAGAUAAACUGCCGAGCAGAACUGGAAGGACUGCCUGAUGUGGCAUUCCCCUUGACAGGGUUGAGCACAGCUAAAAUUGAGGUUUUAUCAUUCCAUCCCUGUGCUCAGGUUCCGGAACAAAAUGUAGAUAAGCACGCUUUGAUGUUCUCACCACCUUUGGGUAAUUUUGUGUUGAUGCGCUAUCAAGCAACAUGCAGUCUUGGACCUCCUGUAAAGGGAUUCUAUCAAUUGUCUAUGGUCUCUGAGGAUGAAGGUGCAUUUUUGUUCAAAUUGCACCUAAUGGAAGGUUAUCAGUCUCCUUUGACGAUGGAGUUCUGUAAUGUGACUAUGCCUUUUCCAAGAAGAAGGGUUUUAUCUUUUGAUGGGACCCCAUCGAUUGGAACAGUUUCAUUUGCAGAGCACUCUGUUGAAUGGAAAAUUAUCACAAGUGGACGAGGGCUUUCUAGGAAGAGUAUUGAGGCAACAUUCCCUGGAACAGUUAGGUUUGCCCCUUGGCAGACACAAAGAUUAAAUUCCUUAAGGUCAGUUUUUGAAAGUGCGACAGAUGAAGAUAGUGACAAUGAGACAGAGAAUACUAAUAAUAUGGUAAACAUAGAGGAGCUCUUAAUGGAGAAAAUGAGUAAGGAUCUUACUCCAGUUGACCUAGAGGAGCCAUUUAGCUGGCAUGCAUACAACUAUGCUAAAGUAUGUUUUUUUAUCUUGACUUUUUUAGCCUUUGGUUGUUUUUUUGAGUUUCGGGAAUUCCUUCAAGUUACUGUAUUUUAUGCUGUGAUUUAUCAUCUGCGGACUUCUUUUCUUACCCUAAAAAAAAAGAGCGAUUGGCCUUGUCUGGUCUGUGCUUGUUAGCUAUAUAUGGAAAUGAAAAUAUUAUUAAACGGCAAUGAACUUUUUCUUUCCCAGAGUAUGGCUAUGACUCAAUUCGAGAGAAUGCCCCUAGCCUUAUAGGGCUGGCUCUUAAGGGUCCAUCUUCAGCAGGCUUUCUGUCCUGGUCCCUUCUUCUAAUAUUGGUUCCCUUUUGAUUAAGGGCUGCGAUGACACCAUUCAAGGAGUUGCAAAAAAACUGAUUGCAACUCCUAACUAAAGUAAAAAAAAAAUAGUCCCCAAAAGGAAAUGUAACAUCAAACAUGGAUUUGUGACCUGAUCCUCACUCAUGGUUACAGGUAUCUUCCAAGGUUGUUGGGGCAUCAUUAUCUGGAAUGUCUAUUCAUCCCAAAUCAGUAAGUCUACAUUUCUCCAACUUGCUUCCCAUGUUUAACUUCAGUUGACACUGUGCAUAAUGUAACAACUAACAAGAACAUAAAUGGAGAUUGUUUAUGUUAUACUAAAGUUGCUAGCUUUUAUAUGUAGGUAAGCAUCUAUCCUGCUGUAAAAGCACCUGUGGAGUUAUCGACGCAGGUAGAACGGUCUCAAAACCCAUUUAAAUUUUGAUAGAUUUAGCUUUAUUUUCCUUUUGAAAUGACGGUCGAUUGUAUAUGUCCCCGAUCCUCUUCCUUCUGCGUUCAAGGAAAUGUACAUUUUUGUUGAUGACAAUUGUGGUUUAAACAGGUCACUUCUGGGGACUAUAUCUUGUGGAAUACAUUAGGAAAGUGCCCAUCUGCUAUUACUGCAAAAGUGUAAUGGAUGGCAUACAAUACCUCUCAUAAACGCCGACGGAUUUUUCACAAUGGGGUCAGCUGCCUCUACUGAAAUCUUACCACUUUUUUUUUUUUUUUGUAUUAUGUAAUUACUAGUACUAGUUUAAAAGUAGUUUUAAUUUUGCUCUCAUUGAAAUUUAUUUGGCAUUUAUUUUAGACUUGUAUUAACAUCGACAAGAGGUUAUAUCUCCUUGUGAUGCCCACAUGCACCGAAUUCCACCAAAGAAACGCCUGUUCUGAUUCAGCUCACAUUUUCGAACCAGCAAUCUUGUGGGUCAUGGAAUUAGCCUCGUAGAAAAUACAUCCCAAAACUGAAGUUAACCAUUUUGCACAGAGAUGACCAUGGAUCGGAAAUAAAUGGAUAUUUAUUAUUAUUUUAUUUGUUACAGGUAAUUAAUAAAUUCGAAUAAGAGAUUUAUUAUCUGUGAUAGGUACGAAUAAUAUUUUUUGAAUAUUCAAUAUUCGAAUUCGUUUUAAGUUUUAAUGAAUAAUAAUAAAUAUUUAUAUCGGAAUUUAUUAUUCGUUUAUUUAUGUAAAACAUAUAAAAUUUUACGUUUAUAGAAAGUUUAAGAAAUUAAAAAAAUAAUUUUUAUUUAUUAUUAAUUAAUAGUGAAUUUAAAUUUUAAAUUAAAAUUUUGUUUUCCUUAUAUUUUGACAAAAAAAUUUAAAUAAUAAAUAUUUUAAUGGAUUUAGAUAUUUAAAUGAAUAAUAUUUAUUUAAAUGAAUAUAAAUUUGAAUGAUGAUAUUAAGUUUAAACGAAUAUUUAAAAAUAUGUAUAUAAUAUAAAUAUUAAAUGAAUUUAAAUACAAAAUAUUCUUUGUUGAAAUAUAGGCUAAAUUUUGCAUAACAUUAUUAUGGUUCUCCUAAUAACUUGUCUUUCAUAUUCACAUCCCAAAGCUUUCCUACAUAGUCGACGUCGAGGUCUGAGUCCAAGUAAUGUUUGAAAUAUUUUAAAAACGCUGACCAAAAAAACAAUUGUUAAUUGAUUAAACAUGAUGUAUUAAUCAAGGAGUGACUUAAAAUCUUUAGAAAGAUUUAAAAUCAAGGAAUGCUCAAGCUUGGAGAUUUGAAUUCUUCAUGAAAAAUAAGUUAUAUUUCAAGUUUACACCAAAACUUUCGGAUAACCAAACAAUGAUAAUAUUUGAAUGCCAUGUCUGAAAUUUUGCAUUAUCAGAAUGCUCUCACAAAGACAACUCCCAACCAAACUCUCCAUCUGGGUAUCAAAUUUUGAGUACUCAAGCCACCAGUCUUAUCAACUGAACAAAAAUACUGACAGAGAAGGAAAGUUGAAUUGGAACAAGUCUGGAAAUAGCAGGCAAUGAUUGAUAAUUGACCUUAACAGCCUGAUAAGGUGAUGGAGUCUCAACAUGCGCAUGCAUUUUUCUGUACAAAUUUCAACUCAAAAUCAAAUGUCAAAAACUGAUUUUUUUAUGUCUAAAAAAUUCAGAGCUUAUGGCUUAUCCCAUGCGGGUUAUGUUACAUAUUUUCUAAAACUAAUGACAAGUUCCUUGACUAAUCUCAAAUAUGUCAAAUUUUGUCAACUGAUCAAAGAAAAAGAUAAGAAGAAAACCAGGCAAAGAACAGUACACCAUUCCAUUGUCCAAAAGAAAAAGGAUUUUGGUCUCAAUUGACAUAAUUUAACCCAACCCCUCCAAUCCAAUUUUUUUGAGCUUUUCUGUCAACGAGUCACUUCAGAGUUGGGAAGAAUCAAAGUAGAAAAUUGAAGUCAGAUUGACAAUUAUUUUCUUUUAAAUUAUUAUUUAUAGACAUUUUUUUUUAAAUAAUCGUUUAGAUUUUAUCGUAUUUUAGUGUGAUGUGAUUAAGUUUAUUAUCCUUUUAAUUGAAUUUAAAAAUUAACUCUCAUAAAAUUAAGUCAACAUAAAUUUUUCAUUAAAAUUUUUUUUAAUUAUAAUUAUAAUAAAUUUUAUUAUUAUUUUCAAUCUCACCGUCCAUCCAAAUGAAGCUUAAAACAAUUACUUUGAAGUGCUAAUUUUUUUUAAUAUAUAAUCGUAUUCAUGAAUUUUUUUUCAUAAAUCAAAAGUUAUGUUUUAAUAAAUUUUAAAAUUUUAUUAAAAAAAUAAAUUUUUAAUACGAAAAAUCACAUCUAAUAAAAAAAUUGAUAAUAAUUUUUUUUUUAUUUUAAAAUUUUCGUCGAUCGAUCCCCAAAGUGUUAUAACAAUUUAAAGAAAUAACAAUGAAUAAUGAGAAUCAAAUCCGAGUUUUUGAAACACGAAAAUUAUGUGCCAAACAUUAAAUCAAAAACUAAAUGUUAAGUUUUAAAAGAGGAAAAUGGGAUCAUCAUAUAAUUAAAAAUGUAAAGGGGAACACUGGUGGAACAUGAUUCUCUACACUGGGAUUGAAUUAUUUAAUUAAAGGGAUUAAUUCUUAAGCUUGAUGCCUUUUGUAUCAUGCAUGUCACGUUAAGCAUAUAAUCUUACUCAUAACAAUAUCAACAUUAUAAUCAUUAUGUUACAUUUUUAGCAGGAUACACUUCUUUUCUUCGUCUCAUUUCCCUACUUCUAGAGUAAUAGAUUCUUUGUCUGCCUAAUGAAACCACCUGGUGGGCUUCUUAAGGGCCUGUUUGGGAUGCAAGAAAAUCCUUAGUACUUAAACAAUUCCAAUAUUCUAUGUCAAAUUAUCAAUUUACACCAAUAAACAAACCAAUUUCAAUUACGUUUUGUAAUUCAGUAAACCUUACAUAGACAUAAAAUGUGUUUUGAGUUGUUCAAAUAUUCCUAAAUUAAGAAGGAAAAAAGGGUUUUUCUAAAGAGUCAAAGAAAAAGAGAAUUAAAUAUCAACUAAAGGUUGAUUCAACCCUUUAAUUCAUUGGUCUUGAGAAUAAAAAAUUUUGGAUUCAGCCAUUGAUGACCAAUUGAACGAAUUACACACAUAGGUUUCAAGCUCCCUUUGGCAGGAUGAUGAGAGAUACUCAUAUUGCACCGUAAUGUUAUUUUAUGAUUAAAAUUUUAAAAAUAUAAUAAAAAAAAAAACGUAAUUAUAAUAUGAUGAAAAAAAAAUUUUACUGUGUUUUCACUAAAAAAAAGAGAAUUAAGUAACAAAGUUUCAAGUGAGAUAUGCUUUGACAACAUAUCCUAGAUAAGGAUUUGAAAGAAAAAAAAAAAAGCAGCUAAUCAUAAGUGCUGUUCUAAGCACUUAUUAGAACCAAGUAUUAAUUAGGGUUCCAAGAUGUCGGCAGUGCUCUCUACCUGUUGGUCCACUAUCCCAAAAGCCUAAUCACCAUAUCACAUAUCGCUUUGCUCUUCCAAAAAAGCUCUCUUAUUGUGGAAAGUGAGGAAAAUGUAGGGAGCUUUUCAAAGAGAUUUGUCCAGAGAAAAAAAAAUGUUAAAAACGAGGGUGGGUUAUGAAUUAGGGAUACGUAGAAAAGUUGGGUUUAAUAAGUUAAUCUUAAGGAACCAGCUUUUGAAAGAGGGCAGAGAGUUGGAGCAGAGGGAACAUGAUGGCCUCCAUGUUUACAUAUCCAUGCCUGACACCUUGGUCCCAAUUGGCAUUAUCAAUGGCAUCAAAAACAAGUGUUUGGGGUCUCUCUAAAUUUUAUGAAAUCUCUUGAAAUUCUCUCCCAUUGCAGAACGAAAACACGCAUUUUUCUACUCACUUUUCUAUGGGUCCACUUGUUUUUUGUGCUACUCUGGGUUGGUCCAAUUUUGGCUCCCAGGGUAUAAGGAAUGACUCAUGGUUAUGUCAUUGACAUUGCAACAUUUGAGUUAAUGUCUUAAAGGAUUGAAUUUGUAGCAUUCUAAAGUUCUUCAUAUUGCCUUUCAUUCUCUUUUUUCUUGCCUAAAGAAUCAAAAUUUCGUAUUCAUGUUGGUUGUGUGGGAUAUUUCAAAAAUGAAGAGUUAGCAGCACAACUAAAACAACAAAGAAACAUGAAAUUUAGCAAGCAUAAAUGAGAAGUCCAUCCCUAGGGACACUAUGUAGCCAAGAAAAAUCUUAGUAGUAUGUAACAUAGGAGAUGGGGGUUUGGGGUUCCAUCGUCAAAUGUAAAAUCAUUCAUAUCGACGUAAAAGUUUUAGAUUCCAAUUUAAUCGAUAAUUUUUUAUUUUAUUAAAAUCAUCUCAAAUAUAUUAUCUUCAACUAUUAUUUUUAAACUAUCGUAUAUAAAGCACAUCUUAUUCCAAAGACAGACGGAGAUGAUUGGGUGGGACAGAACACUCAUGUACAGUACAGCAUACUUAAAACUGUACGGGAAAGGAAAGGAAUAAGCCAGUAAUAGUAGUUGUGUAAAGUGGUGGCAAUUGGGGUAAGUCAGAGAUAGAGAGAAGUGUGACACAGUAAAAUGAUUCUUGCUUGGAGCAAAUUCAUUUUUUAUCAGAAAGAUUCUGCAUAUUCCUUUUCUUUUUUAUCAAGGGAAGGAAAGGACAGAGGGAGGAGAAGGGAUUCUUACACAAUAUCAAGCACGAGGAAUGAUGCAACAUGUUCGGUUUGCUGUUAUUUUUCAUCCUCGUUGGUUGAAUAAUAGAUUUUGCCUUUGCCCUGCAUGGGGCUCGAGGCAUGUAUUUUCACUCAUUUUCAUGGGUGACUGAGAAAGAGAGGGAUUUUGUUUUCUAUGAGUUUGUGGGGCUGGCUUUUACAAGGUUACUAUGUUAUGGCAAUGGCAACUUAAAAGGCUACCCUAACAUUUCUUGUUUGCCUCAAAAAUCUUAGCACCUACGAGGUAUGAUUUCUUGUGGGAGCCAUAUCCAACUCGAAUAUUAAGACAGUUGUUCUUUCACUUCAAUAUCUCCUGUUGUCACCAUUUAUCCACAUCUCUUUCACUAGUGUAAUUCACCCAAACGUUACCCACCAAAAUUAAAAAAAAAUUACUAAAACAUGAAUGUUAAUGGUUAAUCCGAACCGGAUUUGAUUUAAAUUUUUUAUAUUAUAUAAUAUUAUUAACAUUAAAUAUUUGAUUUGAAUUAGAUUUUAUUGAUUUAGUUUGGUUUUUUAAUUUUUAAGUUUUAAAUUUUUAUUAUUUAUAAUUAUUUUAAUAAUAUUUUAAUAUAUUAAAUAGAUUUCUAUAUAAAAUAAUUAUUUUUAUUUUAUAAAAAUUUAAAAUAUAAUUCGAUUCGAUUCAAUUUUUUUUAAUUUUUCAUGUCUUAAUCCGAAUUAAUAUAUAUUUAAUAUCUGAAUUUAAUUUGAACCAAAUAAAAAAGUAUUUAUUUAAAUUAAAUUGAAUAUUAUAAUUUCAAAUUAAUUUUUAAUUUUUUCAAUUUUUUUUCUCACCCCUAUAUACUCAUGCUUCCUUUCCAAUCUCUUCCAAUAUUUGACCAGGAAAGCACUCAAACCCAACAAAAAUGAAUAUCAUCAUACCAUAAAACUGUUACAUAUGCUUGGAAGAUUUGGUUUUUGACUAGUGAAAUGUAGUUCUAAUGUAAUGUCAUGCAAACCAAAACAUCCCAAGUUUGGUGACUUUGUGUGAAUCGGGAAAGUCAAUGGAGGUGAAAGGGAGAGAUCCUAAUUCAGAACGCACACCAUUAAAGCUCCCAAAAAGAGCUGCUUGACGACAAGUUGAAAGUGAUAUAUAUCCCAAUGAAUAUGAACCCCAAAUCAAAGCUCUCAUCAGAGCAUGUGGACACUAAUGUCAUGUAAUCAUUAUCAUCUCAUCGUAAAAUCAAUUUAUUCUAGUGUAUACUUAUAUUUAUAUAUCUAAUACUUUAAUUUUUUAUUCGAUACGAUAUUAAUAUAUUUUAUUUACCUUUUUAGAUGAUUAGUGUGACAUUUUUUUUCAUUUAAUUUUAUUUUUUUUGAAGCGCUUAGUGUGAUAAAAUUUUGUGUCAUUGUAUUUUAUUUUGAUACCUUAUUAAAGAAUCAAUCAUCAUAUCUUAUUUUGAUAUUUUUAUUAAAUGAUUAGAUUGAUUUAUUCUAUUUAUUUUAUAAAUUUAAAUAUUUGACGUGAAAUUAAAUAAAUUAAAAAUUGACUUCAAUAUCAUUUAUCAUGUAAUUAUUAUAAUUUUUUUAUAAAACUUAUUUAUUAAAAGUAUACAAUACCAAUAUUUAUAUAUUUAAUAAUUUUAUUUUUUAUCCAAUAUAAAAUUAAUAUGCACUACUUAUUUUUUUAAGUGCUUAGCGUAACAGUAACAUAUCAAAAGGAACAGAAGCACAUACAAAACACAAGAGUUGGUGGGCCGUAUGUACAAUUUUAACAAUAUUUGUGCGCAUGAUACAGUAGCACUCAGCAGGGCUCAUUUAUUAGUGCUACCAAAUAAAUUAAAAAAAAAAAAAAAGGAAACCUACCCAUUAAGUUUUGGGUUGCCGCAUGUGUGGCAAAUGGUGCGCGUGCAAGCAUGUAUGGCGGCUAAAGGGAACUUGUUCCAUGCCCAAGGAAGUGCAGGUGUCGACCAACCAAGGCCCCUGUGGGAUUAUCUGUCCAAGAACAAAUUCAUGGCUGGACCCUUGUUUGCCAAGAUGUUAGGGCGCACAUUAGAUGAUGUCUUGUUGCAAUGGGGCCAGGCCACGGUCGUUGUCGGGGGUCACAUUCAACUGAUAAGUGGGGCCACACAUGGGGCUUAGCUUAGGUUGCAUGAUUUGGGUUUGGCGGUAGGAGAGGUUAAAAAGGUGGCAAAGUGGGACAAAAGAUUAGGAUUAGGAUUAGGCCUUGGUUUUUUUUUUUUUAUUAUUUCUUUUUUUUUGUCCCUUCAAAUUCAGAUACAAUAAUUUUAAAUUUUAAUAAAAUAAUACAAAAAAAUAAUGAAUUCAAAAUUUAAUAAAAAUUUAAAUAUAUUUAUUUUAUAUUUAAAAUAUCAAUAUAAAUUAUAAUAUAAUAUUUUAUAUAUUUAAUAAAAAUAUACAUAAAACAAAAACAAAAAUCAUCAAAUGUAAUCCAAAAUUACCCAAGUUUUUUAAAAAGUAAAAUUAAAUCCUAACAAGGAAGAUUUUGUUUGCAUCUUUUGAUGUAAAAGGUGGGAUUUUGUUGAGAGUUUGGUUGGGACUUUUAAAGUAAGAUUUGAUUUAAAUAAUAAAUAGGUAUCAUUGUUGGAAGUGUUUGACCAUUUUUGUUGAGAGAGACAGACCCAAAAAAAAAAAAAAAAAAAAGAAAGAGAGAAAAUUUAGAGAAGAGUUGAGUCGAGGGUUAGAGGGAGAGGAACUUUUUGUGUGCUUGAGAUAGAUAGUGUGUGAGUUUGGUGAGUGCGCGUGCAGCUCAAGAUGUCGGAUUGUGGUCAUAAUGGAGGCUGCCCUGCCACCCACCCAUAUAAGAUGAUUCAUGACGCAUACAUUCUGAAUCAUUCCACCCUUUAAAACUGCAUAUUUCAAUUUUAACUAAACAUUUUUCAUCAUUAUUAUUGCCUCUCCACCCUUGCAUUUCUUCAUUUUGUUUUCAUGUACUCCUUUGUAAUUUCAUCAAUAGGAUAAAAGCAAUUUUCCAUAUUAAAUUAAAAUUAAUUAAGGAUCAUCUAGUUGAUAAAAACAAAUGUGUUUUUUUUUUUAUCAAUUAGGAUUUUAUUAUCGUGAAAAACGCAUUUCAAAAAUAAAAAUUUUGAAUGUAAGAGAUUGAUGAAAAAGUGCACUCUUAAAGUUGUUAAAAAAAUUAAUCAAAGCAAAAUUUAAAAAUACCUUUAACCAUACUAUAUAUAAUAUUCAAUUUGAAACAAGCUAGUGAAAUGGGAUAAUAUUUUAUUUGAUGUUUAAAUUAUUUUAAUUUAUUUAAUGUAAUAUCUAAAUUAAAAAUAUUUGUAAUCAGGUUUUUAAAUUUUAUUUUCGUAUACUAAAUUAUUUCAACUUUUAAUAUCAUUAGAAUAACAUUGAUGUAAUACUUAAAUAUUGACAUGAAUGACACGUGAUUGUCAUACGACAAUGAUAUAAUUAUUACGUAUUAUUUUUAAAAAAUUAAAAAAAAAAAUUUUUUAAUUUUAUUUUUAAAAAUAACACAUGAUAACCACGUCUCAAAUUAUAUAAUAGUCACAUAUCAUCCAAGUUAGCAUUUAAAUAUUACGAUAAUAUUAUUUUAACAAUAUUAAGAGAUUGGGACAACUUAAUAUAUAGAAAUGAAAUUUAGAUACCUAAUUCAAUUUUUUUUUUUUUUUGUUUUGGUACUUCAAUAAAAAAAUUUCAAUAAUUGAGAGACCAAACGAAGUAUUAUCCCUAGUGAAUUCAUGCUCCACCCUUUCUAAUUCUAACGAGCUGCUUUUGAGAUAAUGAUGGUACUUUUUUCUUGUAUUCCACCUUUGCUUAUUCAUGUAUCUCUCCUUUAUACUUGUAGAGGGAAGCUUCCUUGGAGCUUAUCAUGUUGAAUUAUUAUUAUAGUCUUUGGUGUAAAGUCUUAAAUUAAAAGCCAAGGAGACUAAAAAUGUCAUGAGGAAGGUAGUUUAAGUCAAUUAGGAAACUACUUCUAAAAGCUAUAUAUCCAAAGCACUAAUUACCUCCAUUUUCCAUUAUUUUAAUUCUUGUUUAUUCGCUAGUCUAGGUUCAUCUUCAUUAAAGCUACAAAAAAACCACUACAACAUGUUCAAUUUUCUAUUCUUGCAACCUAAAAUUCAUACAGGAAACUAUAUAUAUUAUCUGCAGUUCAAAACUAACUAUAACUUGCAAUUUCCAGGAUUGAAGAAAAACAUGGAAAUAUGCUUUUAUAAUCACAAUUCAAAUUAUGUUAAGACAACUUAUAAAAGUUGAUUGAGUCGAUAAAAAUACUUUAUUUAUAAAAUUAAAAUUAAAAUUUUGUUGUAAGCAAAUUUUUUAAUGGGUGAUAUGUAAAUCUUUAUUGAGAGUAUGAGACCAAAAAAAAGAAUGUUAUGACAAACUGAGGCAUUAACAGAAAAAAGUUGUGAAAGAUUUGAUAAGAAAAUGAUGAUUAUUAAAAAAGUGAUAAAAUUAUUGUGUUUAUGUGGAGAUCUGCACUCAAUUUGUGAGAUAUCUUUUAUUUUAACGUGAAGAUUUUAUGAUUUUGUUUCACAAAAAAUGUCUUAUAAGUUUGAGAUUAAAUCUCAAUUUAUAUAUCAUAACAAAUUCUCAAAAUAUCUUGAUAUGAGAUUGAGGUGUUACAAAUUCUCUCUAUUAAAAUUUGAUGUCUCCUCAAACUUAACAUAAAACACAGAUCAAUCAAAUUACACCAAACGUUGGGCAAGUCCAACAUAAAGUGUACACAAAUUACAAGAUCACAUCAUAUGUGAGAAUUCUAGACGUGGCUCUCACCAUAUAAUGCUUAGCACCCACAGGAUUCUAGAAGUGGCUCUACGGUAUAGCACUUAGCUUCUAUCUGACUGAUAAUCACUCUGAUACCAUUUAUGAAAAUUCGUACUCAACUUACGAAGUAUUAUCCGUUUAAUUUGAAGGUCUUAUAAUUUUAUCUCAUAAAAAAUACUUUAUAAAUUUAAAAUUAAAUAUCAAUUUAUAUAUAAUAAUAAAUCCUUAAAAUAUUCCAAUAUGAUAUUAGAGUAUUAUAGUUUAAAAAGAACAUUUUCAGUUCAAAUUAAUUAGGGAUAUGGUUAAGAAGAGUGCAUUAAGGAAUGAAAAAAAAAAAAAAAAGAUGAUAAUGCUCAACUUCAUGGAAUUUUCUUUUUUUUUUUGGUUCAUGGAGAAUAAAAAUGAUAUGAGAUUGCUUUUGAUUUUAGGGCUUCCCCUAAUUCAAGGAUAUUCUCAUUACAUAGUUGCCACGCCUGAUUCCUUUUGUAUUUUCUUUUUUUAAUUUCUGCAAACUUGUGGUUCUGCAUAAUUAUUAUUUUACUCUAUAAUAAUAUUGAUGAUAUUUUUGGCACGUCUAGCUUUUAUUAAUCACCAUAUAUGCCUUCUUUCAGAUGGACAAAGCUUCCCAUUUAACCCAGUUGCUCUCAUCCUUUUUCCUACUAAACUUUUCACUGCAUUAACUACUUAAUCCAAAAACAAAUAUUUAAUUCACCAACAAGGUUUUGAAAAAAUAAAUUUAUCGACCUACAAUGGUUAAUUCAAGUGAUAAAGAGAUGAAUUUUUUUUGUUGUCAAUGAGAAUUUAAUCAUUAUGAAAAGCAUUUCGAAAAUAAAAUUUUGAAUCAUAAAAAUUAAAAUUAAAAGAAAUUUGUUCAUAAAAUUAUCUUAAGCAAAAAAAUUAAAUAAAGACAAAAUCUGAAAACACCUAUCUUUGAAUUAAAAAAAAAUGUUUGUCAUGCUGAAUUUAUUCAAAAUUGCAAGAUUUUCAAUUUUAAAAUACAUGUUCAUAAGUGAAUCGCUGUCAAAAUUUUGUGAAAUUUUAGUUUAGUGCAAUAAAUUUACUGUUAUGUUAUGUCAUGCUCUUAUCCCGUUUUAUCUCAUUGUUUAUUGAAUAAUUUGUGUAUUUAUAUGAUGUAAAAUAUUAAAAUUUAUAUAUUUAUAUGGUAUUUUAUAUAAAAAUUAUAUAUUAUAAUUUACGUUGAUAUGAAAAUAAAAAAAUUAAUUUUUUAUUUUUUAAAACAUAUAUAUAAUUAUUAAUAAAAUUUCAAAUCCUAUCAUUUUUAUAUAUUUUUCAUGUUAUCGUAAUAUAUUUUAAAUUAUAAGAUUUAAUUAUAAACCUAGUAGGUACUUGAAAACAUCUAUAAACAGCAAAUUAACAUCACCAGUCAUUUCUAAUUGCAAAUCUGAUGAUUAAUUUCCCUUCAUUGAAACAUUUGGUCCGGCCUAUGAUUAUGUUGCUGUUCUACAAAACUCCCAUGCGAAUGACUUAGAAACAGUAGUUCUCCAUAAGUUUUGACCCAAUCGUCAUGACCACAAUUCCUCUUAUGAAUGCAUUUAAUUUUGAUCUUUUUCAACGGGACUUUAACCCCCCAUUUUGACAUUUUUUUUUCCCAUUAAAAAAAGAACUACACAAAGGUUUCAUGAUUGAUGAUCCAUGCUAAAGUCCCAGUUUGUUUGGCUUAAUCAAAGUUUGCCUGUGAACAAUAGAAACUUUCUCAUCUAAAAAAGAUUACAUCUAAAAUUAAAAAAAUUAAAUUUUAAAUCAAUAAAAUAUCAUCUCGUAAAAAUGAUUACAUAAAUUAAGUUAGGCUCAAAUUUCCAUUUACAUGUUUUUACUUACCAAUUGAAGCCGCAGUAGGGGUUGUUGGUACAUUACACGUAUCAUAAUCACUAAAUUUGAGACCAAAAUCCGUAUAAACUCUCACAAAAAUGUUGAUGAGCAAAGAAGGAUUAUGUCUAUGAUUAUUGUGCUAUGGUCCCUCUAAUAUAAAUCAGUUCUCCCAACAGCAUCAUCCUUAAAUUAGUACCGAGAAUUAUUCAAUCGAAACAAGUUGCUUUUUUUUUCAUGCCUUGUUGCUUCUUCGAAUUCAAACUAUUUGAUCAUAGAUUUGAGAUCAUCUAAAGAUAGAAUGCAAUAGUGGUCUUUUGAUUUGUUCCAAUUUAAUUUUUUUCAUAUAAUCUUAAAACUACUUUCUGAUAUCACUAUUGUACAUUUAUAAAUUUAUUCUUACAAUAUUAAGAUGACAUAUGAGAAGUAUAAAUAAAGAGAAAAGCUAGGGGGCUUUAUUGAUGCUCAUUAGCAAUGGAGGAAUGCUGAUUGGGACUGACUGGAGAGGUGGCAAGAGUGGGUGCAUGAGCAUGACAAGAACCUGAAAUGCAUGCGCGUGGGCAUAAAUACCGUUCCAUUUUAUCCUUUGUAUCAUGAAAGAUUUCUUCUGUCAAAACAAAGGAAAAGAAAAGGGAAAUUUUUUACAACAAAUCAUCAUCUUAUUCACUUCAUUAUGGCUGCAAUCAUGAUUCUUGGUUGCCUCAUCCGCAUGCCCCCCUCUCCUUCUCUCCCCUUCCACCUUCCACUCUCUCUCUCUCUCUCUCUCUCGCACAAGCCACCUAUAAAAUCUAGUAUCCCUCCCACUUCUCUCUCUCACCUGUAGUUGUUCAAACAUCCACAAAUUAACAAGAUCUGUCUCUUUUUUCUUGUUUCCCGUUUCUGUUUUCAAGUUUCUGUCUUUGGGUGUUUGUUGUUUUGUUUUGUCAAGGUCUUAGAAAUGGCUGUUUCAGGGUUUGAAGGGUUUGAGAAGCGCCUAGAGCUCCAUUUCUUUGGAGAUGAUCCAGUGAAUAUUGACAAUAUGGGGCUUAGGCUGCUUGAUUUCGAAUCACUCGAGCAAGUAUUACAUGCUGUCCAAUGCACUGUUGUAUCAGCUGUUGGGAACCAUUUCUUUGAUGCUUACGUGUUAUCAGAAUCAAGUCUGUUUGUUUACCCUACCAAGAUCAUCAUCAAAACCUGUGGAACAACCCAACUCCUCAAAUCAAUCGGUCCAUUGAUCCAUUUUGCAAACAAUCUUGGCCUCACUAUAUGCGGGUGUAGGUACACCAGGGGCAGCUUCAUUUUCCCCAAAUCACAACCUUUCCCUCACACCAACUUCAAAGAAGAAGUCAUUUACAUUGAAGAAA
rnacentral:lncRNA from 1 species